rnacentral:lncRNA from 1 species
CCGGAAUUAACUUUUUAUUUUUAAAUAUGUCACCCCGGGUGACAGAAUGAGCAAGAACAAAAGAAUUAGACUUCGACCGAAGGCAUGAGGAGACUAUAAUCAGGAGUACAACUGGACCACUGCUAGUUCUCCUUAAAAUGAAUGAAUAACCAACGAAUUCAGAGCAAGCCGGGGCGUGAGUGGAAGGGGAAGUGAUGCAUCACGAUGGGGGGAGCCUUCUGAUGAUCCCUCUUCUUCCUCUCUUUCCUCCCUGCUGCUGCAACAUCGCCCGGCUCACCUCCCAUCUUCUUCUUCUCCUCUGCUACCACCCGCUGCUGCCGCUUCGCCUCUGGACUACCUUCUACUCCUCCUGACUGCUUCCCAGCUGCUGGCGACUCCGCGACGACGGCUACACCGCCAAAGCAUCCUCCCAAGCCCAGCACCAUGAUCUAGCUCUUUGUCAAACACCUAAACUUCUAUCGGCUUCGGGUGAUGGCGUUUGAAAGUAGAAACUCCAAUCAAAUUUUUGUCUAGUCGAUGAUCUUGUUGUGCUUCGGCUAUGAGUGCUCGUGGUAUUUAUAGGGAUCGCCGGUAGAGCUGCGUGGGUGCUUUUGUUAUGCGUGAAGGAGGCCUGAAGAAGCUUCGUCACAUGAAGAAUCUGUUGACUUGUCUCCUCAGAAUUCGCUGAGAAGGCUGGUGGUAAUGCUGACGUCCCCUCUCCUUGGCCGCCAAGGCUCUGCUUCACUUCCCGGCAGGUAAGCUCGUCAGUGACCAGUCAAACCAACACGUGCUUUGGAAGCGAUUUCACUAUCGAUAGAGAGAAGUGAGGAGAUUUCUUGUGUGCUGUGAUCGGAGAAGAGACGAAAACCGCGCUGUCAAGUGAAAAAGAUCAGAGUCACUGACUAGUGGGUUUGGUCGUUAACCUGCGGCACAUAUAAUUUGUUCCACUGCUUUGUUUAGUUUAUCGCCUUGAAAUGGGUUAAAAUUAUUUAGGCCCCGUUUGGAUCAUUGGAAUUGAAUUCCAUCCUAAUAAUCAUAAUUUAGACACAAAUUAAUUAAGUUAAUAUAAUUGUAUGUGGAAUAUAGUUGUAUAUUAUAGUUGGUGAUAUGGGAGAGAUACUUAUAUGCUGUACUUCUACUAUAGAGAAGCGAGUCUAAGAGCGUGCUAUAAGAAUUGAAUUCCAUUCUAAUAACCAUAAUCUAUAGAAUCAAUUUCCAUCUCCCACCCUAUGAAUUUAAGAUAGGCUUAUAUCUAAACUUUGGAAAGUUGUGGAAUGCCACGUUCCAACAUAAAUUAGCCUACUCCAUUAAAUAGAUUCCAAUUCCUUCAAAAUGAAGGGACCCAAACGGGACCUUAGAGAAAUUUGUUCUGACUAUGGGGUGCGUGGAGCGGACAGAACUUGGCUUGGGAAUGUUCUCUGUAGCCCACGAUAUGGCUAUAGCUAAAGCACAAAAGUUACUUCAUGGUUGAUCGAGCAAAUAUUGGAAAUUGAUGCAGUCAUUUUCGUCUUCCUCUUUCCAAAGAAAGUUCCCAUCCCCUUUCAUGCAACAUGCGUCGCUAAUUACACUGCUGACCGAGGACUUGAAGAAGCAGGUAAGUAGCCCAGCAGAAGCGAGUCAGCAGGAUUCCACCUGGAAAGGAAGACUGCACGCGCGUCGUUGUGUUUCGUUGCAUGCACCAUAUGAUGUAUGUAUGGAUGAUCCUGGAUAGUGGAGUUUAACCAAUAUGCUUGUAUUACAAGUUUCACUUCUAUUAGUAGAAUAAUAUAUUAAAUAGGAUGACUUCAUUCUAAAUGAGCCAAACGAAAAGAUAAAAGUCAGUUCUAUCCGCUCAUGCCCUGGCAUGACAAGAAUUACACUUCAAUCGAUUAUAAAAAAUCAUUACGACACAGUCGGUUCUAUUCACGAAAUCGGCUCUAGCUAGCCUUAAAACAGUCACGACAAAUAGUUUUACAAGCAAAAUUACCGUUUUACUCUAAAAAUGCAUAACUUUUUAUACAAAUUUGGAUGGAGAUAAAUUUUAUAUUAGAGGGUAUCAUGAGGUUGCAGGUUCGAAUGCUAAUCAAAGCAUUUGUGCAAAUAUUAGGAUGAACAAGGUUUGAGUGCUGGAGGUGGCAGCGCAUAGCCACCACUAGUAGAGAAUUGGCUUUCCAUGCGGCCCCUUUUAUCCCGGUUUAAAGUUGGUCCGAGACAAAAGGUUCACCAACCGGGACUAAAACUCGGUCACUGGUGGGGGGCUCACCAACCGGGACCUUUUAUCCCGGUUGCAAAGGCUAGUGGGAAAAAAAGACUCUGAGAGGCCUUUUAUCCCGGUUUGAAACACCAACCGGGAUAAAAGACCCCCCUUUAAUCCCGGUUGGUAACACCAACCGGGAUAAAAGGGUCAAGAGCCUUUUAUCCCGGUUUGUAAUACCAACCGUGAUAAAAGACCCCCAUUUAUCCCGGUGGUGUUUCAAACCGGAUAAAAGGGUCCCCAACGAGGUGACUGGAAGGUGACUGGAAGAUGAUUAAAUCCUCGAACCCUUUUAUUCCGGUUGGAAACACCAACCGGGAUAAAAGGGGGUCUUUUAUCCCGGUUGGUGUUUCCAACCNNNNNNNNNNNNNNNNNNNNNNNNNNNNNNNNNNNNNNNNNNNNNNNNNNNNNNNNNNNNNNNNNNNNNNNNNNNNNNNNNNNNNNNNNNNNNNNNNNNNUCCCCUCCAUAGUCAGUUGUGGUGUGUAGGUGGGAUGGCAAGGAAGCUACGCGCGAGGCUGGAGGUUGUGGGUUCGAAUCCCACGAACCGCGCACGCGCAUAUUUCGCGUGAAAAAUCGCGUGACUUGUGACUUGCGCGUGUGGGCCUCCUCCUGGGAGCUCGGGAAUUUUUUUUUGCAGCGCCGGCCGUGGGUGACCCGGGAUAAAAGACCCUCCCUUUUGUCCCGGUUGGUUUAUCCCGGAUGGAUUUUCGGGAUAUUUGCACCCUACCAACCGGGACUAAAGCCCAAAUCUCUACUAGUGCACCUAGGACCUUCGAGUGCAAAAAAAUCUAUAUUUUUGGUGCCAAAAAUUAAUAUUUUUAAAGAUACUUCGUACAGAUAGAACCGACUAUACAAAUUACUUUUACAAUCGGGCCUCAAACUGUUAUUGUCGAUUGUACAAAUUACUUUUACAAUCAGGUCUGAAAUCGUCAGUACAAAUACUAUUUGAAAUGAAAGAUGUUUUUACAGUCGCUACAAAAACAACCAGUACAAAAUGGUUUACAAACGACUGUACAUGUGGGUCGUGUAGUAGGGAAUCAGACAGACAUGUUGUUGAUUAUAUUAAAAAACACAGCCUGGGAGACCAAGUGACAAAUGAAAUAAACCACUUCAAGCACCACAAGUGCUCAAGCUAUAGACUGCUCUUCUCAGCUCUCUAAUGCUCACACAAGAUCACUCUCUCAUCCCAACUAUUCAAAAAACAUAGCCUGGGAGACCAAGUGACAAACGAAAUAAACCACUUCAAGCACCACAAGUGCUCAAGCUAUAGAUUGCUCUUCUCAGCUCUCUAAUGCUCACACAAGAUCACUCUCUCAUCCCAACUCAAAGAUUUCACAAGAAUCACUCAAGUCUCACAAAGAGAGGUUGGGGAGAUCUUUUCUGGUGACUAGAUGAUGUCAAAUGCACGUGCAACCAGUAGCCCCUCAAGGAGGGGAACAAGAGGUAUAAAUACCCCCACUCACCAUAAACUAGCCAUUAGAGUUGCUUAAACUGGUCAGAUUAGUCAGACUGGUCUGGCUGAGUUACACUACAAUAAAUCUUAGGAUCUAUGACGACCUGUUAUUAUCAUUAUUUCUGGUAUUUUUGUCAUAGCAAAUGUAUUUAUGAUGACCGCAUGACGAUAAACUAUUUGCCAUAGAUUAUGCAUGGUAAACCUUGUUCUAUGACGACUGCAUAUUUUUUCAACAUAACUUUUUAUGAUGACCCCAUUAAAAAAUCGUCACUAAAUAUCUUAAGGUCUAGCUAGGCCCAUGUACUAAGCAGAUUUUUAUUGAGCCAAAUAUAAUUGUGGGCCAAAUUUAUAAUUUGCAAAGCCCAUUUGUAUAAGUAAAAUUAACAUCAAUUUGGGUGCCAUUUUUUCUUUUGGAGCCUAUUUAUUUAGUGGGCGAGAAAAGGCCUAACCCAUUUAAACUGGAAAACAAAACAACCAUUUCAAACAUUCUCUCUCGGUUCACCCACUCGUUGAAUCGACCAUUGUUAGCUGAGCUAGGACAGUUAGCACACUCGAGAGUUUUCUUAAGGCUAUUGUCACUUAGGUCAAUUAAGAGCACUUUUGGUGCUAUCAAUAAGCUAAUGUCGCAUCCCUCUUAAUAGUACGUCAUACCUAUACUCAAGAACAAAUAUAAACACAAUAUCAUCCACUUGAGCUUUUAAGUCUUUAUCAAUGCCAUACUUUGAUCAAUGUCAUCUUGAGGGCUCUCAACAUUGCUAUCAUCUUGAGCACAUCGAACUUGAUAUAGUAACUUGGACCAAUAUUCAACACAUAUGAAUGAAGUCCCUUUUUGGAUCCUAAGUUACCACUUUAUAUGACUCAAUAAACAUUUUAUGCAUCCCAUUACUAUACUCGGUAAUACUUGACUAGAUACCUCGAAAUUCUCCAAGCACUAGCCACUUCACCUUAGCAAAGCUCAUGGCCCAAGUCACCACUUGGCCAAACUUCGCUUAGUACCUCGUUGUUAAUCCUUUGCUUGAUUUCUUCAUCCAAUCGUUACCAUAUUGAGUCUAGCUUCAUCUUGACAUCAAGAAUGAAAUUCAUUUGAGAUCAUAUCUUCUUUUAACUUUAAUAUCCCAUUUGAAAUCCUCUUCAAAUGCUUCCUCUUGAUUGAUAAAAAAUCUCCCAUGAAUUGCAAGCUUCCGAUAACAAGACCAACAUGAAACACAUAAGCCCAUGUCCUUUCAUCAUAUACAUAUGAAGCCUUGCAAUGUCCAUUUGUGAAUACCACUAUUCUUUUCUUCAUGAUCCCUUCACUUGUCAAUCAAGCUAUCACAUAAUUUGGAGACUUAUAGUUCAACCAUAAAACAUAUCCUCAAGUUUAUCUUCACCCUUACUUGUCAUUGAUCUUUCAUUUGCAUUAUGGGAUCACACACUUACUUGCUAUCUUCAUUGUGAGCCAUAUAAUACAUAUUUAACACAUGAGAUAAUAUUACACCAUGAAUAUAAGAAUAAAAUCUUGCUCAUAAUCUUAGGCAAACAAGUUAGUCCUUUAAUCAUUUUGUCAUUCAAUUCACCAAAAUCCAAUUAGGGGCCUAAAUGCACUUUCAUUGGUCAGGUCUAAAAUGCACAACUAAACUUAUAGGUGGUUCCCAUGGACAAAAGAAUUUUAAAGUUACAAGUUGCAAGAACGGACAUGCGAUGCAUGAAUGCUCUUGAUGCCAAUCAUUUUUAGAGUGAAAAACGACAAGGAGAUACUGAUUUUGAGGUUAUUUUUACAUUUCCCAUGCCAUUGUUUUCACCUUCCCAUCAUUUUCACCUUCCUUCGCAACCAAGUUCAUCACACUUUACUUGACAAAUCCUCUAUUAGUAAUGAGAGAAAGAUUACAGUAGCUGACGUGUCAGUUUAUUAGCACUACACUACAAUUGAAGAUGAACCUUGGUUUUAAGGUAACACUACUGGGGAAGCGCCUUUCAGUACAUGUUCCUAACUCCCCUUUAGUACCGGUUGUGCAACCGGUAUUGCUACUUCAAUACUAAAGUGGGACCUUUAGUACCGGGUCAAAUAACCGGUACUAAAGGGGUAUUAAAACAAAUAAAAAAAGAAAUCCUGCCAUCAUCUGCCACGCCCUCCCACCGCUCCUUGCUCGGUCGCCCUGCCCUCCCACCGCCAUCCGCUACGCCCUCCCGGUCGCCCCACCCCUGCCGCUCCUUGCCCAGUCACCCCGCCCUCCCGCCACCGUCCGCCGUAUCCUCGCGCUGCUCCUUGCCCAGUCACCCCACUUUCCCGACACCGUCCGUCCCGUCCUCCUGCCACUCCUUGCCUGAUCGCCCCUCCACUGCACCUGAGCUAGCAGGUCAGCGUCGGGCCUCCCACCUCCGCCCUUGCCCCUGUCACGACCUUUGCCCCCAUCACCACCCUUGCCCCCGUCGCCACCCUUGGCCCUGUCGUGGGGGUGCUGAGAGAGAGAGGACAAAGAGAGAGGAAGAUAGGGGGAGGAUAAGGUGGAUGGGAGCGGGUAUGGGGGAGAUGGAUAAGACUGAUGGAGCGACGGGGUACUAAAGGUUGGGAGCUCCUUUAGUACCAGUUGGCCUUUAGUACCAGUUGGGAGCUCCAACCAUUACUAAAGGUCACCCAUUAGUAUCAACUGGAGCUUCCACUCGGUAAUAAUGUGCUUGAGGGCCUUUAGUACCGGAUGGAGCCUUCACCCUAUUCUAAUGGGUGAGCUUUAGUACCGGUUGGAGCUCCCAACGGGUACUAAAGGGUGUCAGGGGGUAACUGAGGAACUAGCUGUUAGACCCAGUACUAAUGCUCACAUUAGUACCGGGUCAAAAACAAACUAGUACUAAGGGCUAGUACCAAUGCUCACACUGGUGGAAAACCUACCUUAGUCCCGGUUGGAUAGGGCCAUAGAUCCCAAAAAUCCAACCGGGACUAAAUUUUCGAGACAAAGGGGGUCCUUUAGUCCCGGUUGGUACUUCCAACUGGGAUUGAAAAGUUAAAAAAAUAAAAAAAAUACCCACUCCGCUCCGCUCCACUCGCUCCGCUCCGCCGGGCUCGCGCCCGCCAACACUGCUCCGCCCCGUGCAUCUCUAUCCCACUACCUCGUUGCCGCCCCAUUGCUGAACGCCACAGAGAAGCACCAGGCAGGAGGGUGCCUCUAUGUGUGCAACCACCGCACCCUCCUAGACCCAAUCACCGUCACCGCCGGUCUGAACAAGCUCACUCCCACUGGCGCCGCUCCACACCGCGCCUGCUGGGCAACGCCGCUCCGCUCCGCGCCGAGCCUGCGCCCGUUGGCCGCUUGCUCAUGCCUGCGCGCCGCUCAACCUAGAAGAGGAGAGAAGAUAAGGGAUGGGAGAGUAGGAGAGAAGAUAAGGAAGGGGAGAGGAGAUAAGGUGGAAAGAGAGAGUUAGGGGGGGUGAUAAAGGCUUCAGGAGGCAUUUAGUCCCGGUUGAAAAUAAAAUCGGGACUAAAGGUCCCCCUUUAGUUUCGGUUGGAAUUACCAACUGGGACUAAAUCCAGUUCCGGUUGGUAAUUCCAACCAGGACUAAAGGGUUGGCCUUUAGUCCCGAUUGGUGUUUUCAACCAGGAUAAAAAGUCUCCUCAUCCCACUAGCUGUUACAACUGGGACUAAAGGGGGCUCUUUAGUCUCGGUUGAUAUUACCAACCGGGACUAAAGAGCCCCCGUCGGUGGCCAUCGGUGGUGGAUAUUUGAUCCGGGACUAAAGGUACUUUAGUCCCGGGUCCAAAAUCAACCGGGACAAAAGUUCUUGUUUGGAAGAUCAAUUCUCUACUAGUGUCAGUUUUCCAGUAGUGUAUACAGCUGCAAAUCAGCACGACUCUUCUCUUCUCCAACUGGGGGAGCUUCAAACCAUCCUUCAACAAAAAGCAAUGUUACCAAUUCCCUUAUAAAAUGUUCCUGAAUCACUUGCACAAUCACACAUCCUGAAGAAACUGAACAACUACCAAAAGAUCAGACAAACCUGUACGGAGAUCAGAUAUGGUUUUGGAACUUUGCAGCUGCUUUGGAGCUGCUCCUGCGGCAGCGGCAAAGAAGGCAGCAUCUACACAGCAGUUAAUUGGAGAAGUUAAAAAGCAACAGGCUGUGGGAGAUCAGGAAGCAUCUGGUGGCGAAGCAGGUGAGCCGACCGCGGUUGAUCGGAGCAUGGUAGCAAAGGAGGAGGAGAGAGCUCCCUUGGUGAUGGUUCAUCAGUUACCAUUUCAUUCUCGCCCUGGAUUGAUGUGACUUUGUCUGGCCCUUUUGCGUCGUCAGUAUCUCAGGGGGUAUUUGGAUACACCCGCUAAAGUUUAGCACCUGUCACAUCGGAUGUUUAUAUGCUAAUUAGGAGUAUUAAACAUAGGCUAAUUACAAAACUAAUUGCACAGAUGGAGUCUAAUUCGCGAGAUUAAUCUAUUAAGCCUAAUUAGUUCAUGAUUUGACAAUGUGGUGCUAUAGUAACCAUUUACUAAUAAUGGAUUAAUUAGACUUAAUAGAUUCGUCUCGCGAAUUAGCACAGGGGUUCUGCAAUUAAUUUUCUAAUUAGCUCAUGUUUAGUCCUCCUAAUUAGCAUCCGAGCAUCCGAUGUGACACUGCUAAAGUUUAGUAGCUUAUAUCCAAAUAGCCCCUCAGAAUGGUUUCAGGACAUGCAUAGGUUUACUUAUUUUAGACGCAUGGUUUACUUCUGGAUUUGGAUCUUGUAGAUUUAUCUUCUUAAUCCUACAGGAGACAGAUAAACAUGAGCAUUGAGCAGUAGGCACAUACCGAAAUCCCUGCCUCUCUGUAGCAAGUUCAUCGUUGUUUCCAUUCUAAUAAAAAGAAAAGGUCUUGGUUGUUUCGGUUCUUCAAGCUUCAAUGGUCACAAACGUAUAACUCCCUAUGUUAGCCUCAAAUAAACUUGAAACUUAUUUAUUUUAACUGUAAAUCCAAUCAUAAAAAAUUAUAAACAACUGAGUUAGUAAGAACAUUCCGUAAUUUUGUACUAUUAAAACCAACUUUUCACAGCGGACUACAUGGAAAACCUGUAGGAAAAUAUAUUCCGUCACUUAAGUAGGGACAUAUUGACUCUGUCGGCUAUAUGGCUAUGACUUUUUGUGUCAAUAAGAACUCUGUGCACAUCUACAAAAUAAUUGUACUCAAUGUCAUUUCUUAGAUAUCCUCCUUGCUGUAAGAUGAGUCUUUUUCAGAUAAACAUACUCUUCAGGAAAAUAUUCCUGACCAGUGACCACUAGAAAACCUUGUUUCUUGAAGAAUUGGUCUAAAUUUCAAGUUUUAACAAGUGUUGCUUUAAAAUUACUGUGGAAGAAUAUAAACUUGAGAUGCCAUUCGGAGAAAACCGUGAAGAAACUAUAGGAAGCCGGUCACGGGUGUGAAGUUUUUUCGGCGCUGCUAGUGCUGACGCUCCAACAAAACAUUAAAAAUUACCUAGUGCAACAUCAGCGUUCAUUGUUUGAAACAUGAAAAGUAUGUGUAAAAAUGACUACGUCAUUCGACUUUGGGAUAGAAAACUCCCACCGCAAUAUGGACACUAUGUUUCAUGCAACAUUCACCGUGAAACAUGCAGAAACAAUUUAAAUAGUUGCAACAUCGAUGCUUAACUAUUGCAACAUAUGUCGGAGCGUCCGAUUUUUCAAGAUUAGCAUUACUGAAGUUUUUUUAAUAAAGUAGGGGAUUCUUGGAUUAUGGGUUAUUUUUAGCAAACUGGGAAGUUUCCCGCACCUCUUGAGCCAGAAAGAAAGAGGGUGUCCUAAGUAAAAAGGGGUGUUCUCCUAUUUCUUGGCAUGUGCAUAUACUUUUUUUGGUGUUACAUCCUCCUACUGAGUGUGAAUCUAAUCCUGUGCUCAAUGGAUAGCUGAAAUCCGUCAUCACCUGAAUCUGGUGCCGUCACUAGUAGCUAGAAAAGAAAAAGCAAAAAGCGUCUAGAAAAAAGUUGAUGAUGUGGCCGAGAGAGACGUGGCAGGUGCCAGCUUGGUAUGCCGCAAGACGAAGGCAACGAUUCGACCUCAUCACACAAAUACAACUCUUCCACAAGCAGAUUCGAAAUCGACGCACCAGAUUCAUCCGAUGAUGUGUCCCGUACCCGCAUCGACUGUCCUAACACGCAAGCGACCGAAACUCUCUUUUCUUUCAUGGACCCGUCAACUAUAUAGAGCCUGGAAUCCAUGUGUCGGGCCAGCACAGAACCUUACGAGUUUCGACCAACUCACCGUGUCAUCCUCUCGUGGCCGGCGAUGUCGUUUCUGGUGGACUGGCUCUUCGACGUGCUGGCGUCCCUGGGGUUCUGGCAGAAGGAGGCUAAGAUCCUCUUCCUCGGCCUCGACAACUCCGGCAAGACCACCCUGCUCCACAUGCUCAAGGACGAGGUCAGGUCCCCCCUACUCUUCCCUUCACUUCCACCACUCGAUCCCCGGCCAGCGCCGACCGGCGCUAACACGGUCGCUGCCAUCUUCUUGUCCUACGCAGACGUUGACCCAGCACGCGCCGACGCAGCACCCUACGUCGGAGGAGCUGAGCAUCGGGCGGAUCAACUUCAGGGCCUUCGACCUCGGCGGCCACCGGAUCGCGCGCCGCGUCUGGAAGGACUACUACGCCAAGGUCGACGCCGUGGUCUACAUGGUGGACGCCGCCGACGGCGGCCGCCUCGCCGAGUCGAGGGCGGAGCUCGCCGGGCUCCUGUCGGACGACGCGCUGGCCAGCGUGCCGUUCCUCGUGCUGGGGAACAAGAUUGACGUCCCGUGGGCGGCGGCGGAGCGCGAUCUGGCGUACUACCUCGGCCUCGCUGGCUGCACCACCGGCAAGGGCACCAUCGACCUCGCCGGCGUGCGGCCGGUGGAGAUCUUCAUGUGCAGCGUCGUGCGCAAGAUGGGGUACGGCGAGGGGUUCAGGUGGAUGUCGCAGUACAUCAAGUAGGUCAUGUGGGGGUCCAUGGUAUAUAUAUCUCUCGGUGUGCUUGUUGAAGUACUACUCUUUAUUGUGCUCUCACUCGACCAAAUGUUCAUCUGAAUUUGUAUAUGGUGGUUUCAACGUACUUUUAACAUAGGAACCAAGUGGUCACAGUAUGUUUCAUUUCUAUCCAGACUUUGGACAUGUUGUGUCGCUCUUGUUUCAUCUUGUGGUGGUUGACUGGUAAUGAGCAACUGGUAUUCAAGGCUUUACAAUGUGAUGAGCUGAUGGAAACCAGAAACAAUAUAUACAUGGUAAUCUGGGCACCUUUGGAACUGAUCAACACGUUCGGAUUUGCUGCUAUAGUAGGCAAAGUUUAAGCCAUGUAGAACAAAUAUUUCAUUAAGAUUGGUGAGAGGACCCAACUCUGUUGCAUUAUUAAUUGCUGGAACCAUAUUCCAAAUUGCUAGAAUCCAUAUUCCAAUCUGAAGAAGGUAACCUCUGUGCUUAUUGCAUGAUGGUAGUACCAGCGUUAAAAGCUCAUCACCAAAAAAAAAAGACAUGAAGACCCAAGAUUGUAAAUAAAACAAGUGCAUUGUUCCAACUAUAAUAAAAUUAAAUAAAACCCUCUAAAUAUAGACUAAUUUACAAUGCGCCUGCCGAGGAGUUCACCGGCAAUGCUGCCUCACUGACAUCAUUAGUGGGGAUGUUGUUCCAUGAUGAUGCAAGUGACCUAGCCGACAUCAAAAGCAAUGCCGGAGUGCGGAGCGCCGUUCACCAAUGUCGAUGUCCAACCACCUCCUCUUUGGGGCCCUCUCUUCCUCUUCAUGCACUUGCACCACUGCCUUGUACAUGGCCUCCACCACCGCCUCGUCCAUGCCCACCACUUCCGCAUCCACCACAACCACAUCAUCCCUAGCACCUCUAUCACCUCCUCCUGCACCAACUCCUCCUCUUCCUCCUUCUCCUCGUCCUCCCCAUCCCCACUUUUUUCCUCAUCCCUCCAAAUCAACAUUAUCAUCGCCACCAUUGCCAUCAAGCUCCAUCAACGCCAAAAACUCCUCAUCUUCGAGGGAGUCACGCUAAAACAUGUGGUCAUCGGAAGACAAAAUCAUACUCAUCACCUAUGUGCUCCUCAUACUCCUCGGAUGAGUAGUUGGAAAGACGAGUAGAAACUGACACCAUGGUCGUUGAUUUUGUUUUUUUAGAAGGAAAAGUGAGUGCAAGUAGGGGUUUGUGGGAGAGGAUUGGUACGUAAUGGCAUGCAAGUUAAAAGGGGGAAGUGAUGCAUCUAUUGCAAAUCGUCAGGAAUGGGCAACAAUGUUGCAGAAUUUGAUUUAGGGGAUUUUUUACAAAUGAUCUAAAGUAGAAGUACAUAACACUGGAGUAUUUCAAUUCAUAGGUAAAUCUGGUUGGGAAAAAAAUUAACUGAGCAGACAUAAACACAUUGCACACAAUCAUGGAGUAAGUUCAGGCAAUUCCACCAUAUUUAAAAAGCAUAUAUUUACAAGAUACAAAGAUGAUGAUUUGCACAAUCUACUUGAGGUUUCUGAGGGCCUCCCAGUUGACAAAUUCAAGGUUUGUGACAUGACUCACAUAAUAGAAGAUGGCGACCUCAUUGCACCAGUGCCAUGCUCCACAUCUGCGUGGUAUAGAAGCACCGCGAAGACAAUCCUAGAGGUGUUAUCGUUGCCAUCUUGGAGUUCCAAUGGCUUAGCACAGCGCCAAUGUAGACCGCCAAGGUGUGUCAAUGCUCAUAGUGUUGCUGUUUGGUGACAUAGACUGCCACCAGUUCACCAUUGUCACUACAAUAGAUCCCCAUUGGAGUAGUAAGGUACUAUAAUUAGUGAGGUUCAGCAGCGAAACCGUGUCGAUGAUCCUAAAAUCCACAUGGAAAAAUUUAUAUCAUGAAACAUAUGAAAAAGCAUAAUUACAAACUUGGAGCACGGGUGAAUGAACAUGAACACAAUUAAUCUGAAAAGAGGAAAUGAGGAAUAUAAUACUUGCAUCGAGAGAAGAUGAGGAAGGGCUUGAGAAAGCAACUAACAUGAGAAGUCAAGGCUCAGAAGUCUCACUUAUUACAAAACCGCGUCUACCAUCCCUACCAAGCCUCCCUAUGUCUACGGGCCAUGGAGCAUGCAAUGUUGCAAUGUUCCUUGUCCUAGGAACUUCCUAUGAAAUGCAAAUAUGUAGUUAUGCCUAAACUACCUUUCAAAUGAUAAUCCUAUAUAGCAAGAAUGAAUUUCAAGGUGAAUAUAUUUGAACAAAAAUGGAGUCAAUGAUACGUUUUACUAGGUGUUACCACUGCCGUGCAUUCACUUUGCAUCACCCUUAUCUCCUAUGUCCAUGACUGUUAUUGACCAUUAAACCCCCUCUUCUUCUCCAUAGUCUACACCAUUGUUGACCACCACAAGUCCACCACCACACACAUCAAUGUAGAAAGAGGAACAGACUGUGUUGCUGGGUUCUUUGGAAUGUGGAAUGAUGCCACAUUCAUCAUCGAUGGGUCAUGGAACAAUGUCAAGUUACUGGUCAGUGGAAUGUGCAACACUGUCACGUUUGUCGUUAAGGGAAAUUGUCUAUCAAAUUUUUCUACAAAUAUGUAGUAGUUCAUAACUAUUGUCCAAAGGAUAAUACUAUAGAGAAAAAAUGAAUUUCAUAAAUGGAAUCUAGUUGAGUAAUAAUGAACCUUAUGGUGCAUUUUACUAGGCAUUCCAAGUAACAUGCAAUCAUGUGCGUUGAUGGUCGUUAAGUACCAAAUAUGACCGUCAAUAUACUCAAGAAUAAAGGAUGAUUGUCAUUUCUUACACGCAUAUUUGUUUUCGAAUAAUGUAGUUCCACUUGUCCUUGGAGAAUAUUUAGUUGCAGGUGAAAUAUUACAAAAGGAUGGAGAAAGCACACUCUAUGGAGCAAAGAAACACACUUCUAACCAAUGGGAGGUUGCCACAUGUGCACCCCAUGGACUGAAGGGCCCAUAAACUACCACAACUGCCUCAAUCCACUAGAUAACGCACACAACCGCCAUUGGGACCAACAAGGCAGUCACUCGGAGAAAGGCAGUAGUGAGGCGGGUCCACAGGAGGUCGGCCGAACCGUCCUUGCCUCCUCUUGUCUCUACUUCCACGUGGUGACUGUUGACAGUUGUUAAGUAUCAAAUAUGACCAUCAAUAUACUCAAGAAUAAAGGAGGAUUGACAUUUCUUACACGCAUAUUUGGUUUCGAAUAAUGUAGUUUCACUUGUCCUUGGAGAAUAUUUGGUUGAAGGUGAAAUAGCACAAAAUGAUGGAAAAAGCACCCUCUAUGGAUCCAAGAAACACACUUCUGACCAAUGGGAGGUUGCCACAUGUGCAUCCCAUGGAUUGAAGAGCUCACAAGCUACCACAACCACCUCAAUCCACUGGAUAACGCACAUAACCACCAUUGGGACCCACCAAGCAGUCAACCGGAGAAAGGCGGUUGCGAGACGGGCCCACAGGGGGUCAGCCGAAUCGCCCUUGCCUCCCCUCGUCUCCAGCUUCCAUGUGGUGAUGGUUUAGGUCAGUUAAAGGAUAUUGCCCAAAAAUUCCCUAACAAAACUGCCUCUUGGAGCCUAUAAAUAUGAGGGGAGGGGCUCCAUUCUAGGACACACACACCACAAAUUGAAUUACUCUCUCCCUCUUAGUUUCCAUGUGAGUGGAGUUAGGCUAGAAUAGCUUUCCUUUAGGUUCCAGGUUUCCUUGGAGUCUAUGGUAUGGCUCUUGUAUCUUUUAUUUCUAAGUUGACUUUAUUCUAUUCUAAGUAUACAUCUUCCUUAUAUAGUGUUGUACUUGGUUCUAUACAUAAUUUGGUUGUAUACCCUAGAUAUAGUGAUAUGCUAGGCUUAUACGCUCGUAUGCUAGUCAUUCCCUUAUUAUCUUAGUGCAGGCUUAUAUACUCUCACGUGUGCUUAUAGACCUUGCUACAUGUUAUACUUUGUGUGCAUACAUAUAUUAUACAGGCUAGUUGAUCUAUGCUACGACAUCGGUUCUGUGGCUAUUUCCAUGGUGGCUUCAGCCAUUGACACCAUAGCCAGGAUGGUUGGAGUGUUGUUAACAAUGCAAGCAUGGUGCCUGGAUUGCUUAGCUUCAUUGGAUAUGAGUUUGCCCCACAGAUUGCUAGGGGUAGGCGACUGGUGGUGACAACCCUGUCUAUUUUUUGUAAUCCCCCACGUUCGAGUAUGUUGUAGGAGUUCGUAAAUUAGCAAUAACUACAUCGGCAGAUCGGUAGGGUAAUGUCUCCCCAUGUGUGCCUAGGUGCAUAGGCCUUGUCCCUAUACAAUGUGUAUGUAUGUUAUGUUUGUAUGAUCUGUGCAGUAUAUAGCAAGUACAUACGAACCUAGAGCUAACUCUUAGUCCUUCUCCCUAGCUUAGUUAUCUUGAAAUGAUUCAUCUGUGUGUGUCACACUACUCUAUCCAUCAUUAUCUUACCCCUAUCUUGAGUAUUGUCUCUAUCCAUCUUAUGAUAUACCCAUAUGCAUAGUAAACUCUUUUGACCUACCCGCCUUCCUUUAGGAAAUAUGAUACCUUUGGAAAAACUCUUGGGUGAAAUGCUAUAAUGGUAUAUUCAUGCACUUGCAGAUUUAUUCGUGAUCGUUAAAUAUACCAACAAUGACGGUUGAUGGGGCCCCUACGUCGGUUAUAGGAUAUUCCCCGAAGGUUGCCUGGCAGAACCGCCUCUAGGAGCCUAUAAAUAGAGAGGCACCACCUCCAUUCUAAGACAUGCCACAAGUGAAUCAUUUUCAAGUCAGGGAAGUUAGGCUAGAGUAGCUGUACGUUGAGGUUCCAAGUCUUAUUGGAGUCUAGGGUAUGACUCUUGUAUCUUACAUUCCUAGGUUGACUUUAUUCUAUUCAAAGUAUUCAUCUUCUUUAUAUAGUGUUGUGGUUGGUUCUUAUAUGCAUGAGUUAGAUAUAUACCCUUGCUAUGUUGAUUUGCUAGGCUUAAAUGCUCGUAUGCUAGCCAUAUACCCUUGCUAUCGUAGUGUAUGCUUAUAUACUCUCAUGUAUGCCUUGAGAUCAUGCUUCAGUACAUACUCUGUAUGCACAUAUAUACCUUGUAUAGCUUAGUUAAUCUAUGCUACAACAUCGGUUCAAUGGCCAUGUUUAUGAUGGCUUCAGCCAUAGUCACAAUAGCUCGGGAUGGCUGGAGUGUUGUUAACAAUGCAAGCAUGGUGCUUGGAUUGCUUAGCUUCAUUGAAUAUGAGAUUGCCCACAGGCUGCAGGGGUAGGGGGCAGGUGGUGACAGCCUUAUCCAUCCUUCGUAAUCUUCCACGUUCGGGUAUGCUGUAGGAGGUCAUAAAUUAGCAGUAACUUUGCCGGGUGGAACUGGUACGAGUACUAUCUCCCCGUGUGUGCCUGGGUGCAUAGGCCUGAGUCCUAUACAAUGUGUAUGUAUGUUAUGAUUGUAUGAUCUGUGCAGUAUAUAGGAAGAACAUAUGAACCUAAAGCUAACUCUUAAUCCUUCUCCCUAGCUUAGUUAUCUUGAGAUGAUUCAUGUGUGUGUCACACUACAUAUCUAUCAUAUAUUACCCCUGCGUUGAGUAUUGUUUCUAUCCAUCUAUGGUAUACUCAUAUGCAUAGUAAAAUCUUUUGACCUACCUGCCUUCCUUUGGGAAAUAUGAUACCCUUGGGAAUACUCUUGGGUGAAAUGCUACAAUGGUAUAUCCAUGCGCUUGCAGAUUUAUUCGUGAUCAUUAAAUAUACCAACAAGCAUUUCUAGUACCGUUUCUCAGGAAGGCACUGGUUCAAAGUUUUUAUUUUUUUUAUGUUUAUAUUCAUAGUUGAUAGAUCAUUACUCAAGCAGGCUAACCUUGAUUGGCUUCUAUUUCUUUGAUGCGAAGACAGGUAGUGUAUGACUGCUUUCGACUUGCUGACAAACUUUACCGAGAAUUUAGAGUCACUUGUGAGAAGGGUACGAUCUCAUGCCAUUCCUCCUCAGAUUACUCUCUUGGCAGUCGAUCUAGCUUCCUUCGCACCAUCUACAUCAAACGCAAUGGCCCAGAAGACUCUUCGUGAGUACUCCGUUCCCUCAGCCUCUCAGGUGCUGAAAGGCCCCAAGGUGGAAAUGAGGAAUGUGAACUUUGAGAUCAAGAUGGGUCUCAUUACGAUGGUGCAGGCUAGCCCAUUAUGUGGCAAAGCCAAUGAGGACGAAAGUGCCCAUCUACAGUAGUUCCUUGAGCUAUUCAACACCUUCACCAUCAGUGGGGUGAGUGAAGAUGCUAUUCGUCUUCGACUGUUUCCAUUCUCUCUCCUAGGGAGAGCAAAGCAACGGUUCUAUGUGAGCCGUAUGAAGGUGAAUACAUGGGAUAAAUGUUCAGCAGCAUUCCUAGGAAAGUUCUUCCCAUUGAGCAAAACCAACACCCUUCAUGGAAGGAUUUCAAGUUUCCAGCAAGCAGCUGCUGAGUCAAUUCCUGAGGCGUGGGAAAGGCUUCAAGAGUACAUCCUAGCAUGUUCUCACCACGGGAUGGAUAAGUAAGAGUACAUCCGAGCAUGUUCUCACCACGGGAUGGAUAAGUAAGAGUACAUCCUAGCAUGUUCUCACCACAGGAUGGAUAAGUGGCUCAUUCUUUAGAACUUCUUCAAUGGGUUGACUCCGACAUCCCGAGGCCAUGUUGAUGCUGCUGGUGGAGGAGCCUUCUUCUCGCUUACUAUUGAAGCUGCUACAAAUUUGAUCGAGAAGAUGGUCUCUAAUCAAGGGUGGAGCGAUGAGCGACUCCAACCUUGUCAGAGAGGUACACAUACCGUCAACGAAGCGGACAUGCUUACCACCAAAAUGGACCUCUUCAUGAAGAUAUUGGAUGACUACACCUAAGAGAAAGCUGCCAUGUCCAACACCGUCCAAGCUAUGAAUUCUCAUUUGACCUGUGAGGUUUGUGGAAACACUAGACACUCGGGGAAUAACUGCCCUGAAACCCAGGAGGACGUAUUGUACAUGAACAACAGCAACAAUUAUCAUCCACAAGGAUGCCAAGGGUGGAAUCUACAACGCCCUUACCAAGGAGGUAGCAAUGGUAAUUCUUUCAAUCCUAACCAACCCUCCUUUAGAGAUUGUGUUUUUGGGCAAGCUAAGAUAAUUGAAAGUUUCAAUAAGAAGUUAGCUGCCAACGAGAAAACCUUGGAUAGCCUCAACAUAAAACUUGAUGGUUUUUCUUCUGCCUUCAAGAACAAGCUGAGUUUUAAUAAGAUGUUUGAAACCCAGUUAGCUCAGCUGGCCACUGCUGUUCCUUCUACUAAGAUUGGGAAGAUCCCGGGACAACCCGAGUCUUCUCAUGAAAAUGUUAGUGUUGUGACCGCUAGAUGGGGUAAGCCAUCUAGGAGGCUGUUUAUUGCUAACCAUGCAGUAGAAGCCCAUACACCAAGGAAGGAAUCAUGGGAUGAACUAGUAGCAAGUAACGAAGAUCCGGGAUAUCCGGUGAUCAGCUGCUCGAUGUGUGACUACUACAUCAACUAGGCCAUCUGUGACUUUGGAGCAAGUAUCAACAUCAUGCCCAAGGCGAUAUUUGAAUGGCUGAACUAUCCUACUCUUUCCCCUACCUUGAUAAGGUUGCAGCUAGCUGACUCGACACUCCGAUAUCCUGAGGGAAUAGUUGAGAAUGUUUCGUUGAAAAUCUGAGUUUCCUAUGUCCCCGUGGAUUUUGUGGUCCUUGAAAUGGAAGGUGACUUGGGAAUGCUGCUCAUUCUUGGGUGACCAUUCUUAAAUGACGCCAAUGCAAGGAUCGAUGUUGGAGCUAGAGAAAUCCAAUUUUGCAUUGGGAAGAGCAACAUGAUGUUCAAAUUUGAACUGAGGGAGGUGUUGGAGGUAUGCCCUAGAGGCAAUCAUAGAGAUGAUGAUAUUCCAUUUGUAUUCAUGAUUUGUAUAUUGUGUUCAUUGAAUAUCCAUUAAAGGCUACUUGAAUUGAUUUGCAAUUAUGUGAAUUGUAUGUGGAACUCUUUACUUGUAUGGUUAUUCUAAAGUUGUCCCUAGUCGGAGUUCAUGUGAGGACACACAUGAAUAUUAGACUAGCACAUGUAUUAGUUGAUGACUAUGUUUCACAAGUCAUGGACAUGGAGAUGUUGAACUAAUAAUGUGGACACAUGUGGAGACAUGUGCUAGGACUGACCCAACACGAGAAGUAGUUUUCUCUUUAAAAAACAUAUACGCUUUGUCCUUAGACCUGAGAUUGUUGCAUGUAUUCUAGAUGUGGAUCGACCUACUUAGGGGCUAUCAAACGCUACGCCGUAACAGGGUAGUUAUAAAGGUAGCUUUCGGGUUUGUCAAGAAGCAUGCUAUGAGAUAUGGUCAAUCAAGAUGGGAUUUGCCCCUCUCUGAUUGAGAGUGAUAUCUCUGGGCCCCUCGAGUGAUCGGAUCCGAAAAUGCAUGGCCAUGCUACGUACGGUUAAGAGUUAACCUACAAAGGGAUUCCGAAUCACAGGAUCGAGAAAGAGCGGUCGGCUUGAAGCUAGACCAAAUAUCGUGAGGCAAAGGGAAUAGCAUGUGUAUUAUGUUGUGAUGGUUCAUCUGAUAUGAUCUUCGUGUGCGUAUAGGAGUUGGCAUGUCUUGCUAGAGGCCGCUACCGACUAUUGGGCCGAGUAGGAGUACUCGGGCCAUGUCUAUACGUAUCCGAACCCAUAGGGUCACACACUUAAGGGGCUGGAAGCCCAAUUCGGAUCUGAUCCGAGUUGGAUUAGGUUUAGAAGUACUAAUGGGCCUCGGACCCAGAGACCCGUUAGGAACCUCUAUAAAUAGAGGGGUGGGGUCACCCUAGGGUUUACACCUUUUUGGCGAAACACAUCUGCCGCGCCUCCCACGCCCUCGCCUGUUGCAACUCGCGGAUCUAGCAGUCCGGCUUGCGACGCUUCCUCCCUGCACGUGUGGAUACCUUGGAGGUAUUGCGCCUGCAGCACUUGGACAAGCCGCCGACGAGCCACGACGAGCCGACGACGAGCCGCGGCACGAGGGCGAUCUUGCUGCACGUGGACGAGCUGCUGAGGAGCUGCUGGACGUUGACGUGAUCGACUACGUACGACUACGUUGAUCGACUACGUAUGACUACGUUGAUCGUCUUCACUGCAUCGACGCAAAUCUACAUCUUCCGCACCAGUAGUGCGUCGAGUGGUAAUCCCGUGAUCCUUAUACGGCAGUUCUUCCUGGUUUUACGUGGUAGAAAUUUUGAUUUGCGCUAGUGUAGCCUACCUCGUAUCCCAACAGGAGGAGCAAUGCUACUUGAUCGAUCAAGAAAAUGAGUGGCACAGGGAGUGGAUGGAGCCAAAGCCCUUAUCCAAAAAGCCACCAACCGUACCAACAAAACAAAAGAAGAUCAAGAAUGGAUGCUGAAUGGUAAACACGACAGAGAAGAGUCCUGCUCGUCAGACUCAAAAUGGUGAGCCUUUCGCUGAAAGCUAAAUCGGUAGUUAUCUCAUAUUUGGUUUCCAAAUUUAGAUUUCCCUAGCAUUUGAUUUUUCCCAAAGCAUAUUUCAUUUUUUCAACCCACAUUUGCAUGCUGGAAUUUUUCUAGCCAUUUUUCCCUUUUCAUAAAAAAUUCUGAAAAUGAUCUUGAGCUAAUAUCUCUUUGAAAAUUCGUUUGAGCAUUUUUUGAGCAAACUCUAGCUGAGGCACCCAAGCAUGACAUCAUGUAGCCGUUGGGGAGCUGUGGGCCAAAUGGGGGUAGCUGGUGGGGCCCACCAGGGGUUGGCCAAACCAAGAGAAAUGGUCCCUAGGCCCUACCAGCGCCAACUGCUAGUAGCUGUUGGCCACGGUCAGAAUCUGGUCGUUGCCCCCUUGCUCUAUAAAUAGGACUCAAAAAGGAGGUGAUCUUCAUCCAUUACUCACAUUUCCUCCAUUCACUCCCUCUCUACUCUUUGCUCUUGGGUUUUCUUUGAAGUUUUCCUUAAAAGUUGAGUGCAAGCAAUCUAUCUCUCUUAAUUUCUUUGCUGCAAGAUUGGCCAAGCAUUGGAGACCAAUGUACGGGUAAGUUUCAUUCGAUUACACUAAUGUAACCCGUUUCGAGUUUCUCUUGUAUUUCCUUUUUCUUCGGUGGCAAGCAUGAAUCUAGUUGCCAGCGAGUUCAGGAGGAUGACGGGUUCACGCUCGUCCCAUUCACGGGCUAGCACGAGCUCUCCUCAUUCCUCCAAACCAACACCGAUCCCGACUUCAUUGGACUAUGAAGAAGAGCAAGCUGAACCACAAGCUGAAGCUAUGGAGAUGGAUGCAAGUGCUGCCCCCUACCUUGACUUGCAAGGCGAUUGAGAGAAGCAAGCCUACGUGCCAUCCUCAAGGACCGGACCUUUGGUGACACUAAGGCCUACGACCGGGAAUUUCUGGUGAAUUUUGGUGGCAAGCAUGAAGCUAGUUGCUAGCGCGUUCAGGAGGAUGAUGGGUUCAUGCUCGUCCUGUUCAUGGGCUCGCAUGAGCUCUCCUCAUUCCUCCAAAACACCGAGCCCGACUUCGUUUGACUAUGAAGAAGAGCAAGCUGAACCACAAGCUGAAGCUACGGAGAUGGAUGCAAGUGCUGCCCCCUACCUCGACUUGCAAGGCGAUUGAGAGAAGCAAGCCUACAUGGCAUCCUCAAGGACAGGAACUUUGGUGACACCAAGGCCUACAACCUGGAAUUUCUGGUGAAAAUAGGUAUGGAUAUCGACUUUGCUUUUGUUUGGUCUGCUAUUGGGUGGGACGAUUCUUCGCUGGUGCGGAGCUUGAUUCUCGAUCCCUCACCAUCAAGUUUCUUUACAGUCUUCGAGAGGUGAUGGACAAUGGUUCUUUCCGACUCUUCAGGAUGGAAUACCAUUUUACUUGGAAGGAAUUUAGCCAUCACCUCAGUUUCGGUCCUUGUUGCAUUGUUUCUCUUCACAAAGCUUGCCGCGGGUUUUCUCGACUUGGUUUUUGGGGUGACAUCUCUGGUCAGAGUGUCCAUGGCAAAUUUGCAGCUAGGUGCAAUGACAUUCAAAAUCCAAGCCUUAGUUUGAUGCACAAGUGGCUGGCCAUUACUCGCUUUCCAAGAGAGGAUGUUAGGCCCGUGCACAACAAUGAAUUGAUGAUCUUAUAGGCCAUGGUCAAGAAGAUCAAGAUCUCCCCCAUCAAGGCAAUGGUUAGGCAAUGGCUUGAGAAUUUUAGUAUGAUGGGUCCCAUUGAGUGCACUUCUUUGAUCACUCAUGUCACUUCAAAGAUCGAGACUCUAGAUGGGAAUGCUAUUCCUUUCAUUGAGACACCUCGACUUCACAUCGGUGAAGUGUAUUUGAUUUAUGGCCACACAGUUAAGAAGGGCCCAGAUGAUUCUUUGGUUUUCUUCUUUUUCAGCUAUACAAAUGAGAUCCCAUUACGUAACCCUAGGUUUCGUUUGUAUAAUUGCCGUUCGCUAACCAUGUCUCUUGUGCCACAAGAGGAAGCUCGCAGGAGCAGUGUUUCUAGUGGUAGGAUGACACAGAGCAUGUCAAGGAGCGCAGCUGCCACCACCACCACAACCCAGCCGCAGCCAUAGCCUCCUGUGUACCCAGCUCAGGUGGGAUAGGCCACAGCUGGAUAUGUGCCCGGGGUAACACCUGAGUACACUUCCGGUUGGGACCAACCUUCCAAUCAGCACGAGGCUAGUAGCUCGGCAUGGCAGAGCACGGGCGAUGAUGAUUGGGCCCAACUGAUCCAUCGGGACUAGUCCAUUAGUUCUAGCUUUGGUGGUGUUCCUUCCAUGUACGCCCCUCGGUGCUCGUUCUCAGUUCAAGACCGCUCUGAUCUUCCUCAGCAACUGAGCGAGCUCAGUGUGUGUACUAGGAACAUGGAGGAGUCGCUGAACUAGCACAUCUAGUCCACUCAGAAUUGGCAAUGAUAGACCAGCAAGAGGAUACAUGCCAUGCAACAAUUUCAGCAGCAACAGCAGGAGGAGGUGAGGGCUUACUUUCGUUGGACGGGGUACAACCCCAACCAACAAAUAAAAAUCUUGAAAACUAAAUAGACAAAAAAUAUUUAGUGCUUUUCUAUGUGCGGUAAGAAUGUUUUAAUUUCUAAUGGUCGCAAUGAUGAAUAGUUGUUCUAUUUAUUUCCUCUCAUAUGUCUUGUUACAACUUAGUAUCCAACCCAUGUUUUUGAGUUUGUUGGUUUGUGUGAUCAAACCUUAGUUUGAAACUUGUGGGUAGCAAAAAAGCAUGAUCCGUGUCCAGGUUGUUGUGAGAUAUGAUAUGGUUGAAUAGAGUUGCUAUGAUCUUGUUCUAUGUGAUGCUUGAUAUCCGGAGUUUUACUUUUGAAAAAUGCUAAAAUGAUAAGUUCCUCAAUGAUUAGAAAUUCCUAUCCAAGGCCAUAUGUUGAUCGUAUUAAAUAGCCUCCACAUACGCGGCUUGUUCUCUCAUUGAGAUUUGUCAAAUUGUUGUGAUCCUUAGUGAGAUUCUUUUCAUACUCCCAUGAUCAAGAUCACGUACAUGCCACCACCAUAUGCUAAACUUCUACAUUGGAAGUUAGCAAUCAUCAUUUCAUCCAUCUACAUGGGCUAUGCAUGGCCACCACCAUGUUAUUUUAUGACCUCUCUCUCUCUCCAAUGUUAUCCUUGCAAAAGAUACAUGGACUAUGCAAGAAGAAAUAAAAGACAUGCUCAUGAAAGCAUGAUGAAAAACAGAGAGAAAGAAAAAGAUAUCCCAUGUCCUAGAAAAAGCAAAGGAGAGAGAAGGAUCAUACAAAAGGAGUCUAUAUACCAUCCACCAUAUUCACCAUCCACACAUAUGCACAUCUUGAUCAGGUUGUAUGACUUGCUUCUCCAAAAGAUCCGAUCUUUGACUCAUCAAUACAUGAAAGACAAGUAUUCCUUCAUCUUUCCUACCUACGGCUCCACAUAUAAGCCUAUUAGGAGUAGGUUGUGAACAAAAGGCAAUCCUAUGCCUUGGUGAUGAAUCAUACACAUUGAGCGAUCCAAGAGCAUCAUUUGAGGAACUUUGAUUUCUUUUGAAAACCUUUGCAAAACCUUCGGAUUUAUAAGAUAAUCAAAGGAUGAGUGAAUGGCGAUCUAUGAAACCAUUCUAUCUUUCAACUGCCCAAUGACAAGGUGAAGCUACAUGACCCACAGGAGUAAGGUAAGAGGUAAGAUCAAUGCCAAUUUAUUCAAUUCUUGGUAGAAUAUUUUGCUGUAGGCUUGGCAUAAGUUAGGAAUACAACAUAAUAGCAACUUCUGAUCAACCAACCUAAAGUCUUAGCAUUUUCUCGAGAUGAGGAAAGGGCUAGCUUGGGGGAGUUAUUGAUGGUCGUUAUGUACCAAAUAUGACCGUCAAUAUACUCAUGAAUAAAAAAGGAUUAGCAUUUCUUACAUGCAUAUUUGGUUUUGAAUAAUGUAGUUCCACUUGUCCUAGGAGAAUAUUUGGUUGCAGGUGAAAUAAUACAAAAGAAUGGAGAAAGCACACUCUAUGGAGCAAAGAAACACACUUCUAACCAAUGGGAGGCUUAUAUACUCUUUCUAUCGUAGCAUAGGCUUAUAUACUCUCAUGUAUGCCUUGAGACCAUGCUUUAGUACAUACUCUGUGUGCAUAUAUAACUUGUAUAUCUUAGUUGAUCUAUGCUAUGACAUCGGUUCAAUGGCCAUGUUUAUGGUGGCUUCAGCCAUAGUCACAAUAGCUUAGGAUGGCUAGAGUGUUGUUAACAAAGCAAGCAUGGUGCAUGGAUUGCUUAGCUUCAUUGGAUAUGAGUUUAUCCCAUGAGCUUCUGGGGUAGGCGGCAGGUGGUGAUAGCUCUGUCCAUCCUUCAUAAUCCCCUACAUUCGAGUAUGCUAUAGGAGUUUGUAAAUUAGCAGUUACUUUGCUGAGCAGAACCGGUACGGGUACUGUUUCCCCGUGUGUGCUAGGGUGCAUAGGACUGAAUCCUGUACAAUGUGUAUGUAUGUUAUGCGUGUAUUAUCUAUGCAGUAUAUAGGAAGUACAUACGAAUCUAGAGCUAACUCUUAGUCCUUCUCCCUAGCUUAGUUAUCUUGAGAUGAUUCCUGUGUGUGUCACACUACAUAUCAAUCAUAUCUUACCCCUGCCUUGAGUAUUGUUUUUAUAAAUCUUUUGACCUACCCGCCUUCCUUUUGAAAAUACGAUACCCUUGGGAAUACUCUUGGGUGAAAUGCUACAACGUAAUAUCCGUGCGCUUGUGGAUUCAUUCGUGAUCAUUAAAUAUACCAACAAUAUGCACCACUAUUAUGGAUGAUUAAAACCCCCUCAUCUGCUCCAUAGUCCACACCAUUGUUGACCACCACUAGUCCACUAGAAAAACCUAGCUUUUAUUUACUUCACCAAUGGAAAAGGCUUGCAUAUGUUGGAGCUCCUUGCAAUGGCCUGCAAGGUAUCUAUUUGCCCUCAUGAUGGUGAUCGAACAUGCCAAGGAUCUUGCCUUGGUCACUCGCACACCACAAUUGCGCUCUGCAAAGAGCUAGGCAUUGAAGAACCUCAGGACUCAUUGGAUGGACCUUCAGCCGCAACCAUGGACUUGCCUUGUGGAUAUAGCACCGUGACACCGUGGAACUGCCUUGGGCUCAUGGGGCUGCACUUGUAUUGUCAUUAGGAAAACCUUUUCCCUUAAAAAUGUUAAAGAUGAUGGAACUCUAAUUUGUAAGCUGAUGGAAAGAACUAGAUCUUGGAGAGUGAAACGAACCGGAUUUUCAUUUCUGUGAAUCCAACUCCCAGUACCCUUGUGCUGGUCCCUGGAUCAGUAGCUAUCACAUACAGAACUUAUUUUAGCAAAAUAUCAUUUCCAUACAACAAAAUCAGGGUACAACUUUGAGAUUUACAUCCGAAUCAAUUCGGAAUAUGAAUACCGUACAUGCCCCUUGGGCUUAAGCAAUAAGCAAAACUCAUAUGCAGCAGUAGCUAGGGCUUCAAGUCUUCAUCUCCGACCUUCACCACAAGCAUCCUUGAGCGAAGCAACGUGACCCAUCCUUCAUGAAUUCUUCAAGAUCGGCCUUUCACUCCAAGUCCAUACCUACACACUCACAAUCUAUCCCUAAGGAAUAGGACAAGUCCACAUCACCAUCCGUAUGCAAGCUUUAAGUGGCCUAAUUCUAGUGUUCAGAAGUACUCAAGGAAUAGGCUCAGGUUUCCUAUGCAGCAGCAAGCAUAAAGAAUAAACUUCCAUAUCCAUCAUCCCAAUCUCUCAUCACAUCAGGCACACCUGCCUCGACAGGGCCCCUAUCACCAAUAUCCUAACUCCAUACUAGGGUCAAGGCGAAGACUCGCUCUAUUCACCAAUAUCCUAAAGAUAGAAGGGAGCAACUUCUGCUCUCUCAGACUGCAAUUGCGGCUCACCACACUCACAUGUAGCUAAUAUGGGGGAGGUAGAGAUAUUCCAAAACAAUGGAGAGUCGUGAUGUCACAGGGUUGUUCAUGACCGAGGACGCGGCUAUAUGUAUAGUUUUAACUCUGCAGAGAAUGUACACUUGGAUCCAUCUUGGAGUGAGCGCAACUGGUGAUCAGCUGACUGAACAUAACUCUACCGAGCAAAGAACUAGGGAGUUAUGAUACGAUCCUGCAUUUGGGCUCGGAUGCGAUCCCCAACAGUGGACCACCCUGGAACUGUGAAGCAAGAGCACCGGGGCCAAUCGGGGGCAAAAGCAAAUCAGGGGACUAAAGGUCAACACCACUCCCCCUACACUGAUACUCUAUCCUACGGUAGGUAUGGUACCGUACUUGCCAGUCUUGACCUAGGCCUAAACCCAUAAUUCGGCGAGUGGCGUGCUCAUUUAACAUAUUCUCGUGAAGCAUGGUGACCUACUCGGUUUCAGACUGGGGCGAGCUCCUAAUUUCCACAAAAUGACUCCUCCACGAGGAUCACAACAGUACCCAUAACAGGUAUCACCACCAAUUCCUGUGCUGCUCAACCAUAUACUCGCAACAAGUACCAAACCGGGAACGCCCAAGAAUGAAUCCAAGCCCCCAAUUCGAUGAUUGGGUUGUGUAAAGCUCACCCCAUCAAAUAUCCAAAAACACCUUCUCCUGCCAGUUUUAACCCCACUCACACCAAGAAUCCUAUUCACGAUAUCCCAUACACAUGCAAGCAUCGCACAUAGCGUAUAUAAGCAAUAUGGUAAUAGGUCACACAAGGAUUCAAGGCAUAAAAAUAGGCUAUACAUAGUUUAUCAUCAUAAUGCAAGGUAAUAAAGCGCUAGCAUACUAGUAGCAAUGCCUAAUGGGUAUUCAAAUCGAAUGGGCAUGAACCUGGAGUUGCUUUGUUCCUCGUAGUGGUCCUCGAAUAGCUCCGACUUCGACUUCAACUCCAAAUCUUCAACAAGUCCUAAUUACUUGAUUUUCAUAAUUACUGUGGUCUAAUUGCAAAUAAAACCCCAAAGAGAUCUAUAGAAGAUCCAAACAAGAACAAGGACUAGUCUAACGUGUUAUCCAAUUUUAAAAAAGUUAUGAAACUGGAUUUUUUAAAUAAUUUGCAAAAAUGAGAAAAUUCACAAAGGUGACACGUGGUAGCACCGCAGCGUGCCACGUGUCUUGCUGAUGUGAUCAGUGGGCCCUGAUGACAUCAGCAUUGACUCGGUCAAUGGGCAAAGUCAACGGUCAAUGGUCCACGGGUCAGUGGGCCUCACAUGCUGACGUGGCACCCUGGUAGCUAUAGGGUAGCUAUAGGUUGUCUCUAGGCUAGCUGUUGUCUAUCUGUAGCACUUAGGUGGCGCACACGCGUUAGCCACGCGGCUGCGGAGUCAGCAGCCACGUGUGGUCUAUAAGCGGCUUUAGGGGGCCUCUAGGCUGGUGUUAAGGCUGAGGUGGCUCUUGCAUGUCUUCUGCGUGGUUGCCACGUACACUGCCAUGCAAGGACUCUAGGUGGGCUGUAGGACGACGGCUAGGUACGUGUGGCGAUCCACGUGGUGAUGACGUGGGUGCCACUGGGGCUUGGCCUGGGUGUGGAUUCUCUACGGCUCGUGUGGCCACGCCAUCAUGUGGCCCCCCAUGGGGCACGAUCGACGGUGCAGCUCGGGGUUUGGUCCACCGUGAACCACCGACUGUGGUUCACGUGGACCACUUCUACGAUAGGGUCAGCCAGCGGUGUUUUGAUUUUUCCCCUUCCCUCUGCCGCGGCCACGGCCAGGGCUCGCCGGUGUUCACUCUCCUAGUGACCCUACGGCGAGUUAAGGCCUAAAAUUGGCCGCGUAGCUCUAACUUCAACUGGUGAGGCGGGCUAGGGUGUUGUUGGGCAGCGAUAGGCGGCAGAACCCUAGGUUCUUAGGCGGUAGCACUCAAGCAUCCUAGGGGCCAAAAACGCUGAUUUUGGCAUGCUGGUGUUACACUGCGGCUGGGCAGGUACUCCGGCCUACUCCUCGGGUGCUAACGGUGGUGGGUGGCCACGAUGCUGUCGGCGGGCGGUGACGGCAUGCUGAGAGACAGCUAGACUCAGCGACAAGGGUAGUUAGAUCACGGUUAGGCUAGGUUUGGUGAGGCGAAGCUUGCCGGAGCGUAAAAGUGGCACCUUUGUGGCUUCCUAGGGGCUACGACGUUGCCACGGCAGCGCACCAGAGCGGCGUUCGGUGGUGACAGUGUGGCGUGCGUGCACGGCGUGGCGAGAUGGCACUAGCUCCUACACAACACGCAGCAUGAAGGCCGGACAAAGGCGUGCGCGGCGGAGCUAGGCUGGCGCGCGGGCUCGCGGUUGUCCACGGCUGCAGCCACAACUACGGCGGUGAGCGGUGGCAGCACAAGGUGGAUACAGUGGCUCACCUUGGAGGCUCGGUGGUGCGACAGUUGGUGCAAUGGCAAGGCGAGGUUGAUGCUAUGCAGGGCGCGUAGGGAUGGCAGUGUAGUCGUACGGGGCGCCAGCUUGUCGGUGGCGGGGUUGCGGCAACUUCCGGUGGCGGCGCUAUCCUUCUCUGCUCUAGCUUUGCCCCCUCUUCUUUCCCCUCCCUCCCUCUUCUCUAGUGGCGGCGGUGGAUAGGGAAAUCCCCUAGGGCAGUGGCUAGCCGGAACAGGAGGGGGCAAGGGUUUUUAUAGCGGCGCGCUUAGGGCUUAGGUGCCACAAUAGGGACAGACGGCCGGCGAUCUUUGGGAUACAUGCGCGGGGUGGCGUGGUGAGCAUCUAAUGGCUCCGGGGCAUGGGUUGUUGAGUGCAGGGUCAUGGGGUGCGCGGCGCGUGGGUCUUGAAGGAUCCCGCAACUUCUUUGUUGCUGCGCGAGGCGAGGCACGAUACAGGGUGGCGUUGCGCGGGCUGUCAGUAGAGGAGGUGGGAGGAAGGAGAGAAAGCUGAUAGGUGGGCCCUACCUGUCGGCGAGAGCGAGAGAGAAGAAGGGGUGGGCGCUGGCAUAAGCGGCGUAGGGGCCUGGAUGGGGCGGUUGCUAGGCCGCGGUGCUGGAGGUGGUUUCGGCCAAGCAUGAGAGAUUGGCGGGCCGGAGAAGAGGGUGAGGUCGGCGGGCUCUUGCUGGCCGUGGCCGUUUUCGGCCCAGGUAAGUUUAGGGAUUUUGUUUUUAUUUUUCUAAUUCAAAUUUGAGUUUUAGGUUUCAAUUGUGAUUUCAGCCAAAUGAAAUCCAAAUAAAUCCAAUUAAGAAUUCAACUCAUUCAUGCAAGGGUCAUGACUAAAUAUUUUAGUGCACCAUUUUUAUUUUCUAGAGAUUUUGGGAGAGAAUGAGAAGUUUUUAACCUUAAAUUGCAAUUUAUUUUCUUGGCUCACAUAAUUCAAACAAAUUUUUUUGAAAUUGCCACCUUUUGCAUAAAAUUAACAUUUCACAAAUUUGCAGGAUGUUAAAAUAGCAACUCAAUGAUGAGGAUGAAGUGGGGUAAGGGUGAGGGCUAGGAGGAUUGCAUCAGCAGUGGGGUGGGUAAGGGUGAGGGCUAGGAGGAUAGCCAAGGAGCUGGAUGAGUAUCGGUAGUGGUGGCUCGGGUAGGGAGCGAGGAUGAGAAGGGUGCUACAAGAGGUUUUGUGUCAGUGACAGUGUUGGCAAACUAGCCUCCAACAUGGCCUUUGAAUCUCUUUAAGGGAAAACCUUCGCCUUAUGGUUGUAAGAGAGAUCAGCUAAGUUGAAAAAUGAGAUAUCAUAGGACUUGCAAGGGAGUAAAGGUCCUAAUGGCAAAGCAGAAACGGUGCCCUUACUGAAUUGAUGAAACAAAUCUCAUAGCAAGCUCCGGGAUGAGACUUGAAGGCUAAGCAAUAAAAGAAGUCUCUUGAGACUCGCUGCAAUGCUACAACGUAAGAAGAAAAAAUCAAUCUCCAUAGUGUGAUUUUCAAUACCUCAUGGUGUAAAGUGGUGUAAAUGUUUUUAUGAGAUAACUGUUUUGCCUUGGAAUAUUACUGCACUGUAGUAAUUUACUAGGAAAAUAUUAGAAUUAUAUGAUACAAUGGUAAUGAUAUUAAAUAUGCAAGAAGCCAAGAACUUUGACAGACCUUAUGCAAUAUGUUUUUGUUUUUUGAGGAACCUUAUAUAUGAUGCCUUCACGAUCAAAGUUCUUGGCUUCUUGCAAUAGUCCUGUCAAAGUUCUUGGCAUCGUCUAUAUAGCAUGCUAAAUAUGCACUAUACACAAUAAGUACUAUGUAUAUAACUAACUAGCAUGUUUAGUGUGUGUAGAGUGCUGCCCCACUGACCAACACGGUAACCAAGCUACCUUUGCAAAAAGUUCUGCAUAUUUAAAAAUAUCUACUCUUGGAAAAUUGCAUACACCAGUUUAGACAUGUUCACAUUAUUAUCAUAAAUAUAUAUUAUCUAGACUUUUUCUAUCCAACAUAUUCAGUUUUUGCUACAUAUGAACCAAAUUAUAUUUGUUAUUCAAGUAAUAGUUUUUUUUAAAAUAGUCACCUCGAAUGGAUUUCUAAGGCCAACUCAACCAUAAAUGUACAUAAUUAAAAAAACCAUAAUCCAGGGAUCGGAACAUAGUAUUUGAAACAACACUCUAUUUUGAAUAUUUCUCACAAUUAAUUCAUGUUUAUUCAUUGAGUUAUCCUAAACUUUAAUAUGUUACUAGACAUAUAAGAGUUAUUUUUACUACAUAUCCAUUACUAUUGUGGUGGUAGUUUUUCAUUGUCAGUUUCAUAAUAAUCGCGGCAACCGCGCCAUAAUAGUGUGAAACGUUAAUGGCAGUUUCUUCUCAAGCAUUCACCACCAACUAUAUAUCCCAUUUCUUUCCCUACUUUGCUGCUUAAUAGCCUAAGGCGACUCUUAGCAUUGAUCAGGUUUCUGACGAGCCAUCCUUAUUCCUCGACCCUAUUUUCAUUGUUCCUAGCAUCAUCAUCAUCUCUAUAGCCUUCCUUUCCUUGGGAAGAAUCCACUCCAAUAUUCACCGUUAAUGAGCUACCUACCCACAUCAUCUCCAUGCGCUGGUAACCCUUGUUUCCAUUUACAGCUCUCCACGCCCCUAUUUCUUGUUCGGACUACGUGCAGUAGCAUUCAUUUCUUGAGUUCUUGUGGUAGCACGCAUUAUUAUGUUUUGUCGAUUUAGAUCUAGAAAGUUUCUUCCGCUAAUAAAAUAUUGUCCUAAUUUCGUCCAUUUGAUCUUCAUUUGAGUUGAAAGGAGAAAAAAAUUGAAUCAUAGCAGUAUUUUCAUUUGAUUUCUUUCUAUAACUCAGGUCUAAUGUCAAACAAUUGUUUUGGCUAGGGUUCCAGGAUUACUAGAUGAGGAAUAAGCUUGAUUAGGUGCCACUCCCCUCCCACUAAUCCCCCCCCCCGCAACCCCCUCCCCUGCAAGGACCGUGGAAUCGGUUUCUACUCAUCCUUCCAACUACUUGUCCAAGGAUGACAAGGAGCACAUUGGCCAUGAGUACGAUUCUAAUGGCCACAUGUCCGAGCCUAGCUCCCCCGAAGAUGAGGAGUUUCUAGCGUUCAUGGAGCCCAAAGGUAGCGGCCACGACAAUGAUAAUGAUGAUGAGGACGAUGAUGACGACAACGAUGAUGAUGAUGAUGAUGACAAUGACGACAACGACGAUGACGAUGAUGAUGAUGAUGAUGAUGAUGAUGAUGAUGUUGAUGAUGAUGAUNNNNNNNNNNNNNNNNNNNNNNNNNNNNNNNNNNNNNNNNNNNNNNNNNNNNNNNNNNNNNNNNNNNNNNNNNNNNNNNNNNNNNNNNNNNNNNNNNNNNNNNNNNNNNNNNNNNNNNNNNNNNNNNNNNNNNNNNNNNNNNNNNNNNNNNNNNNNNNNNNNNNNNNNNNNNNNNNNNNNNNNNNNNNNNNNNNNNNNNNNNNNNNNNNNNNNNNNNNNNNNNNNNNNNNNNNNNNNNNNNNNNNNNNNNNNNNNNNNNNNNNNNNNNNNNNNNNNNNNNNNNNNNNNNNNNNNNNNNNNNNNNNNNNNNNNNNNNNNNNNNNNNNNNNNNNNNNNNNNNNNNNNNNNNNNNNNNNNNNNNNNNNNNNNNNNNNNNNNNNNNNNNNNNNNNNNNNNNNNNNNNNNNNNNNNNNNNNNNNNNNNNNNNNNNNNNNNNNNNNNNNNNNNNNNNNNNNNNNNNNNNNNNNNNNNNNNNNNNNNNNNNNNNNNNNNNNNNNNNNNNNNNNNNNNNNNNNNNNNNNNNNNNNNNNNNNNNNNNNNNNNNNNNNNNNNNNNNNNNNNNNNNNNNNNNNNNNNNNNNNNNNNNNNNNNNNNNNNNNNNNNNNNNNNNNNNNNNNNNNNNNNNNNNNNNNNNNNNNNNNNNNNNNNNNNNNNNNNNNNNNNNNNNNNNNNNNNNNNNNNNNNNNNNNNNNNNNNNNNNNNNNNNNNNNNNNNNNNNNNNNNNNNNNNNNNNNNNNNNNNNNNNNNNNNNNNNNNNNNNNNNNNNNNNNNNNNNNNNNNNNNNNNNNNNNNNNNNNNNNNNNNNNNNNNNNNNNNNNNNNNNNNNNNNNNNNNNNNNNNNNNNNNNNNNNNNNNNNNNNNNNNNNNNNNNNNNNNNNNNNNNNNNNNNNNNNNNNNNNNNNNNNNNNNNNNNNNNNNNNNNNNNNNNNNNNNNNNNNNNNNNNNNNNNNNNNNNNNNNNNNNNNNNNNNNNNNNNNNNNNNNNNNNNNNNNNNNNNNNNNNNNNNNNNNNNNNNNNNNNNNNNNNNNNNNNNNNNNNNNNGAUGAUGAUGAUGAUGAUGAUGAUGAUGUUGAUGAUGAUGAUGAUGGGGAGGAGGAGGAGGAAGAGGAGGAGUCUGCAUAAGAGAAAGUGGAGGAGGUGGCAGAUGUGCCAGGGAUGAUGCCGGUGGUGGUGGUUGAUGCAAAAGUGGAGGCUGAGGCAGCGGCAGUCGUGGAUGCCGAAAUGAAGGCAGUGGUGCAAGCUAAGGAACAGGAGGAGGAGAGGGCCCCGAAGAGAAGGCGGUUUGAUGCCGAUACAAAUCAAGGCCCCUCCGAUACUACUACUGCUAGCGACUAGGUUGCUGGCACCACCAUCAGCAUCAACCACAUAACCAACAUGGUGAAAAGGUAGCAUUGAUGGAGAAAUCCUAAGCUGCUCCUCGUAGAUUGCUCUACAUGCAGCGGUUUUAAUUUUCUUAUAACGUAGGCUUUAUUUAAUUUUGGAUGUAAGAUAGAUCAAUCCCUAGUUUUAAGAUAUAUCACUUUCUAUUUUUUAUCGAUUUAUUUACAAAUUUCCUUCAAAUGUUGAUGGCAUUUAAAAACUGUUAUCAAGAAAAAAAAAAGGAUACAUCCUAUCAGAGCACAUGGAGCACUAUAUUUCUUCCUUGGGUACGAUGUACAAGCAGUACUCCUUCCAUUUAUAACUAAAUGUUGUUUUGAGGGUGUCUUUUGCAUAUUCUUAAAUGAUCUGAGUACAUAAAUGCAUAGUUUUGUUGUGUCAGUCAGAUUUUGAAACAAAUGGUAUUAGCCAAUUUAUGUCGAAUGCAUACUUUAGGUUGCAUACAUCAAGUAAAUGAAUAUGUUUUUAACAAAAAUUAUUAGUCAAAUUUAUGUUCUGAUAUUGCAUCAUUGUACAAAGUGACAAGAGUAAAAUACAUCACCGGUGCUCAAACUUAUCUCAAGGUAUCAGUUAGGUUCUCAAACUUCCAAACUGCACAUCCACAUCACAUCCCCAAACUUGCUAAUUAUUCACGUAAGAUCCAAAUAAUUGUUGCUUGCAUUAAACUACCUAUGUGGCUGCUGACUGUGUCUAACAUGGAUAUGGUUCUCCAUGGUCUUGCUCCACCUAUCAUUGUCUCUAUCUUCUAACUUCCUUACACGCAAUGCUAAAUUUACAAUCGACCGCUAGAUUCCUUCUAGCCAGUCGACAACGUGGUAGCGUGUGACGCUUUAAGGGGCCAUGCGUAAACCAUUUGACGCUCCUGCUCAUCUACACGUGGUGGAACCUGCCAACCUUAUGACAAAUUGACCACCUCUCCCGUUUUCCAUUUCUCCUUCUCUAUCCUCUCGAGCCCGGAGCUCCUCUGUUCCCUUUCAAAUUAGGUGCAGGGAGCGGUGUUCCUACCGAGCUCCUCGCACGGCCACCAGUGGGGGAGCGACGAGGCUACACCCGCGGGGCGUGACAUUUGUCCUGGUGGCGAGCGUGGGGUAGAAGCAAGACUCCACCCGCAGGGGCGCGGUGCUAGGCCUCGCAGGAGCGUAGUGGGGGGCGCUAGGGCGACUAUAGCUUCGGGCCCUGGCGAGGAGCGGCGGGCAUGGUGGGGAGUGCGGCAGCAGGGCCCAGUGAGCUACACCCAGCCGGUGUGCCCGAUGCUGCGGCGAGCGCCGCCGGCUGGCAGCGUGAGUGCGGGGCCCGAAGAAGUGUAAACAUACUAACUAAUAAAAAACAAUACAUAUCCAUUGCAUAUACUCCAUCCAUCCUAAAAUAUAGCUACGUUUAGCAUUUUUAAGACUAAUAAAAAGUCUAAUAUACCCUUCAUUAAACCUAUCCAUUUAUGCGCAUGCAUACAUGUAUGGCAAUUAUACCUUCCUUAUAUGUCUCCACACAAAUAAAAGGUAUUGUAUGCCAUUUAUUGAGAGAGAGGACCACAAGACAAUUGAUUUCCAGAGUUAUUUUCGUCCAUUCAUCCAUUCAAUCAGACUUGUCAACUUAAACGUAGUUGUAUUUUAGUAUAAAUUUUGAACUCUAAACGUAGCUAUAUUUUGAACAAAAGGAGUACAUGUUUUAAAACGAUGCGAGUAUCAUAAAUGCAUACUUUUCCUGUGUUUUAAUAAUACUUUGUAACAAAAAGUACUAAUCAAAUUACGCUUUUGAGAUUGUGUUGCUGUACAAAACGUAACUUAUUUGGACCGGAUAAUAAAAUACUAACUGAGGGGGAAAAUAAUAAGUAUUCGGUGUCAGCAUAAGAGACCACUCAUUUAGCAGUCGUUUUCAUCAGAUCGUGCCAUUUCCAUCUUGCCUCACAAGAAAGUUUCUGCCCCCUUUCCAUCGGCCGAUAAAAAAAUCCCCUCCAAGUGCACGUGUCUAUUUGACUGGAUACCGGCAAGCUGAUCUACAUUGCCAAGUGGCAAGUCCAGAUAAGACAGAAGAACCUUGGCAACCAAGCCAGCCAUCUUGCAGAAAACAAGUCAACAGACUCACCCUGCCCUUCCGUUCCAAGUAUAUUCUUGGACGAGGAAGCUUCAAACCUCUUUCUUCACAACAAAAGCCACACGCACAAGGCACAGAACUCAUCAGCAAACACUCCCCUAUAAAACACCUGGCAGUUCAGAGACGCAGCGCAACAAAGACCACCGGAGCAACAGGUUAGAUCAUCAUCAGAGAGUUCAAACAGAAUCAGAGAGGGAAUCGAGCGGAGGAAAAGGUCGAUCAUGGUACUAGGAUUGGGAGGAUGCUGCGGCAGUGUUGCCAUUGCCGACGGAAGGAGGGUGUCGCCUGUUGCAAAGCAGGCUGCAGAAGGAGAAGGUCAUCUGGAAGCCAAGAAGCAGCAGCAGCAGGUGGUAAUAAAAGAGAAGACGAAGAAGGGAGGUGAGCCAGCCGAGGUCGCAGCAGCAGGGAAGGAGAGGAAGAGGAGGGAUCAUCAGAAGGAUCCCCUGAUCGUGGUGCAUCAAUUCCCUUUCCACUCUCGCCCCGGCUUGCUCUGAAUUCAUUUAUUAUUCAAUUAAAGGAGAACUAGCACUGAUCGUCUGGUGUGGUGUAGUUAUCACUCCUAAUUGUUUCUUUUUUUCCGUCUUCGGAAACAUCAAUGGUGUAAUUCUUUUGUUCUAUUAUUAAAAAAAAGUAUUUUAAAUAUCUCUUCAUCAUGCACGGCAAAAAUACUAUUUUUUAAUACCAUUUUCGUAGGAAACUUUAUCUCUUUCAUGUUGCAUGACAAUAAUUAAAUUCAUUUUCCUUCGGAGAAUAUGAAAGAAGGUUAUCGAAACUACGAUAAUGCAAUCACAGUGAUGAGAAAAUAUAACUCAAUCCACAUAAGAGGACGCAUGAAGAUACAGGCCAUGCUGUACUUGUAUGGCCCAUACUUCCGGACCACAAGUCCUAAGUGAAUCAGUGGUCUAAGAGCAACUUCAGCGGAGCUGGCAAGUCAAAGGAGGUUGCCAAGGACCCUGCGAUUCCGGUUGUUUGUUUGAGGGAAAACAUAUCCCGCUCCUAUAUGCAUGUGUACAGGUGCUUGAAAAACAAUUCAAAUUAUGAUGACCACGAGAUAGACAUGUCCAAUACAGAAGGGAUUCAUUACCUUGGACAAUGUGUCGGUAAUACCAUACUGGCCUUGCGAUUCCGGUUUGCGGUUUGUUUGAGGGAAAACAUAUCCCGCUCCUAUAUGCAUGCGUACAGGUGCUUGAAAUUAAUUCAAACUAUGAUGAUCACGAGAUAGACAUGUCCACUACAGAAGGGAUUCAUUGCCUUGGACAAUAUGUCGGUAAUACCAUACUGUGGGAUAAAUGAUAGAUUAUACUGCCUUGAGUUCCUAAAUAUCUUCCCUCGCUCACACCUUCCUCACGUAUGAAAUCCACAUCAUCACAAGGUGUUUGUUGAGAAUCUACUAGUGGAAUCGACUUUAGCACCACAACAAUGGAUGGUCACACUACCGGCUCCAGCAUCACCAUGUUGGCGGUAGUUAGGGCGUUAGUUCAUGAACUGCAAGCGCAUAGAUCUGUUGUAGCUUUUCUCUUAGAUUAUUCCCCGAAGAUUUGUCAAUCUGUAGAACAAGUGGAAUGUUAGCUCUCACUAUAUACUAAUAUUACUAACGAAACUGAGUGAAUGUAUUGUGUAGAGAGACAAAAUAAACUAAACAGCACAUGUUGAUACAAGAUAGCCAAGGUUAACACAAGAUAAGAAAUAGAGAUAGAUAGGCGUUCCCUCCCUAGGAUCUAGUUCACAUGAAUAUGGAUCUACUAGAUAUAUAGGUGCUACCCUCAGUUAGCUAUCAUAAUGGUUACGUGCUCGCUCUGCCUUUUCCCUCCUGUAUAUUGUCACUACACAAGAUAGUUGUUGAUGGCAGUUAGCACACCAAUUUAUAAACCACAAGCGUACGAAUCAAUUGUAGCUCUUCCCUUAGAGUAUCCCCCAAGGUUUAUUAAUCCGUGGAACAAGUGGAUUUGCAUGCUUAACUAAGCACCAACCUAUGUAACUGAAGGUUCUUUAUAUAUGAUAAGAUUGAUCUAACAGAAGAACUAGUGACUUAGAUUAAACCAUAUACAGAGCAUGGAUGUAAUCGACAUGAAUGAAAGAACUAGAUCUAAGUGUUAUUGUGAUUGGAUGUGAAUCAUGCCCAACACUUUCCCUCUUCCAUGUUGUCACUACACAAGGGUAUUCAAAUAUUGAACGAUAAGAACACGGCUUGAUGAUCAUUCUAGGUAAGCAAAUAAGCAACCCAAAGUAGCGCUAGUCAGCUAUUACAUUAAGGAGCAUCACCAAGAUAUGAUAAAUAACAAACAGAUCUUAAACAAGAGUUUUAGCGAUUACAAAUCAAAAUCUCCAUACAACCCUGAGGACAAACAGAGACUUUACCACAUGAUCUUACAUAUGUUGAUAGAAUUCUGGGUAAAGAUCACCCUCUAGAUCAACUGGACCGAGGGGAGGAUGAACAGGGGUAGAAAAGCCCCAGGCCAAUCGGCCUGGCCAUUGGCUUGGGAGGUUCCUUCCUCCUCUGGUACUCCGCUUCGCGUGGCUUCUUGUAGAUUGAAUCUUCUCUCCAUUUUUCUUCCUUGUGGCGGCAGUGGAUGGUGUUUGUGUGCUGUUUUCUUCUCUCUAUCCAACUUUCACUUCCUUGUAGUCCAUGACAGGGUAUUUAUAGUCUCCCAUAGGCAGCGUCUCAGGGUCAAUGUUGGUGAAAAAACCUAGAGAUCGUCGUAGACUUCACGCUGAAGAAACGGGAGGUCGACUGGGCCUGGAAUGGGCCAGGCCGAUCAGCCCAGAGGGUCCCAAGCCAAUUGGCCUAGGCCCUUCUUGGACCUUUUGGUCCACUCCUUCCUCGUGCUAGCUUCCCUCGAUGGCCCAUGUCCAAAUAUCCAUUAAGCUCUUUAUGCAAACCCCCUUGAUUAUGUCGUAUUUCCUAUCCUAAUGCAAUAUACUCCAAAAUACAACAAAUAUGCAAUAAUGAGGUUAUUUCAGGUGCCAAGUGGCAGGUUAGUAUAAGAUUAAACAUGAAAAUGCUAGUUAAAUGGCACUAAAAGUGUUUCAAUAAUGAGCAUCAACAGUUGUCAAUCACCUUUCUCACACACACUAAAUCGAAGCAUCCAUAGAGUUAAGCUAAUCACCAUGAUUACCACAAACUCUACUAAGAACAUAUGUUGUACAGAAUAGAGACCUCACAUAUGUAAAUAAAGCAUCCCAAUGGCAUAUAUCAUGAUGUAUUAAUGGGCAUAAAUAACAUGUAGCAGUUACAUAUCAACAAUCCUAUCAACCAGGGACAAAGAGAGGCUUUACCCCAUAAUAUCUUUCACAUUUCGACACACAAAUGGGGCAUGGAACAUUUGGAGAACACUCUGACCAAAGAUGAAGAUGAAGACGAAGAUGAGGGGAGCAACAAGGGCCUCAAGCUGAUCGGCCUAGGAGUUUCCUCCAUCCUCUGGAGGACCCCUUUCAACGCCGAAGCUCCUGAUUAGUUCUAAACCCUAUUCAUUUUCCUGUGACGAUGGUGGAAUGUGGUUAAUAGCCUCUCUAUCACCUCAAUCUUUCCCUAGUGAAUGUCUUUGGUAUUUGUAGUUGUCAGCGUCGGUUGGGAUGCCUUCUGGGUGAAGUAUCUGGAGAAAAACCCUAGAAUUGUUGAGGGCUUCCUUCUGGUGAAAGAGGGCAUCGAUCGGGGCUGAAAAUGGGCCAGGCCAAUCGGCCUAGCCCCUCUCAAGCCGAUCGGCCUGCCCUAUGUAGGCCUCAAAUGACUGAGUGCUUCAUACAAAAGUUGUAUAUCUUUUUGAGCCAUGUAAUUUUGAUACCAAAUUCUCCCAAAUUUGAGUUUGGAUGAGGAAGAUAUGGGUCUUCCAAGUUCAGCUGGUCCUGCGGGCCUACAGUCCAAUGUUCCUGAUUGUGUCUGCCAUUAUCCGAAGUCCUAGCCCAAAUCCAACAUGUACAAAACCCCUUCAUUUAUGUCAUAUUUCUUCUGAUUUUGCAAUAUGGUCCAAAACACAACACAUUUGCGAAUAUAGGGUUAUUUCAAGUGCCAUGUGGCAGGUUAGUAUAAGAAUAAGACCAAUCAUGAUUAAAUCAUACCAAAAAGGUGUCAAUAACGAGCGCCAACACACCACAACAAUGGGUGGCCACACCACUGGCUCCAGAAUCACCACAACAAUGGGUGGCCACACCACCGGCUCCAGCAUCACCACAAAAAGAGUAGGUGGACUGGACGCAAGACCAUACACCAUCGGCUCUAGCAUCACCACAACAACAACAGGUGGACUCACUAGAGCAGCUAGAAGAAGAGCCACCACAUAUAGUGCCGCGAGUCAUAUGGGCUUACGAGAAGGAAGGGUCAUACAUUGCAGCAAGAUGGCAUGCGAGCAACAAAGCAAACAAGACGGCAGACAUCCAACGACGGGGAUAUUCCAAGCUCUGUACUAACACAGAGUUCGACGUGAUCGUUGAGACCAAUGAUAUACCACAUUUAACAAAUUGUCCUUGAAUUUGAGUAUGGUAAACUGUUACUAUCCAAAUGGGCAAUCUCAAUGGUUCCAGGUGAAAUGCAGAGGAUGCAUAGUUGGUACACGAGGGCAUGUAGACUUGGGCUCAAAGACUUGUGGGCACAGUACCCACCAGAUGUAUUUGGACCAAAAUCCAAUCUGGGGGAUAACAUCACCAUUGAUUUUUCGAGACAUCCAUGACAUGUUCUGCCUCGGACAACUAGAAUUAAACAUCGUUAGAAUGUAAUGCAUGUAAGUGGUUUAUCAAUACUAAUAUGAUACUAAUAUCUUGUAUAUAUGCUAUGGUCUACAUGUACUAUGCAUAUCAAUUAAUUGCGGUACAUUGCAAGAAAAUGACGCGCAUGUUGUAAAUGAAAAGGCCUAGUAUCUUGACCCUUAUACUAUUUGUGAGCUAGGCACAACUUCCCAACCAAGUGGAGAGACAACCAUGAUGAGCUAGUUAAGCUUUAGACACAUCGGGAGAAAUACUCCAAACAAAUAGAAGCUCACAAAGAUGCUAUGAAGAAGGUUUUAGCCUACAUAGCGCAUAUGAUGAUACAAUGGAAAUAAGGAAGGGAUUACAUAUGAGUACCCUACAACUUCCAAUGGGUCUAAUUUCUAUCAUUUGUUAUAAUAUACACUUGCUCCUUGAUGCUUGAAAAACCGUAUAUAAUAUUUUUGCAGAGGUCACUAGAUUGCUUUUCUGCUAGAGCCAAAGCAAGGAAGGGCUACCGUAUUUGACUCAUUGGAUUGGGAAAAGAAGAGAUACAAAGAAUUCAUAUACAUCCUACAAAAUUUUUAGAAUUUCUUGUCGUGUACACUUACAUUGUGCAAAUUUUUUCCCAAAGAUAACAUAUAAAUUAACUGCUCACUUUUUUAAACAGGGCUUACCAACACUACAUUCGCAGAGGAGGGACUUAUAACCCCGAGAGACUUGAAGAAAUGGAUGUACGCACAAACUUUCCAUGACACAAGCAACCUGUAUGUUUUGUGUUCUGUGGGUAUUACGUGUGCGAGCACAUUAGGGUGCUCGGGAGAUACACAACUGAUCUCGAAUGUGUAAGUGGCUCUUUUAUAGGGAAGUAUAUAUGUGCACAUUGCAUUAUUUUGCAUCUAUCUAACACUUGCCUAAUUUUUUGGUGGAUUCAUUAAUUGCUUAUUAGGCUGAAACUACAUUGUACACGACUCAAUGAGCAAAGAACUUCUAAAUGCAGUCAUCGAUUUAUGUUCUUUCAUUUUGCAUGAAGUGGUCAACCCAAGGGGUAGCUUUUAUCACCCUGGACACUCAUUAGCAUAGGAAGAUAAAUAUGUUAGCCUCCGUGAGUGGGAGAAUCAAGAAUAUCACCAUGAGUAGCCUUCGUGAAUGGCAGAAAAACAAUGAAUAAUACAUUCUAUUUUUCUAUUAUUUCAUCUGCAUAAUUUAUAUUUAUGUAACAUACUCAAUGUCAAUCACUAUAGCUUGUUCGGUCGUACACUACAUUGUUAGGGUGAAAUUGGCGGGAACAAAAAUUUUAAAAAACUGGCAGGAAACAGUUUUCGCAAAUUUAAAAAUAAAUGGCUUAUUUUUUGGCGGGAACGACAUUUCUAGGGGCAAGUCAUACCAUCACCAGAACCUGGAAAACAAUUUGCAGGAGCAGAUCAUGGCGUAUCCCACCCCUGGAAAUAUGUUUCUAGAUGUGGAUGAUGGCGUGGCCCACCUUGGAAACGGCUUUACAGGGGUGGACAAAUACCCGUUCCUGCAAACAGCUGUUUGUAACUGUGAAAAGCAGGAGCGGCUAAUGCAGCCGCCCCUAUAGAUGCUGUUUCAACUAACCCCGAAAACCGUUUUUUAUAGUGCUUGGUCCCUGUUACACAGUGCUAUCAGUGGGGAGGCUCCUGUCAAGGAGUCGCGAGGUAAUCCACCCCGUCACGACCCAAUCACGUAGGCACUGAAGUAACAGGAAGACCAAGUCUAUCCCGUCAUUGCAGGCCCUCAUCAAUGACUAUCAGCACGCGAUCUACACCACCACUGGCGUAUGCCUGCUAGGGGAACACCAGCAGGCACUACACGCAUUUUGAUGUAUUGAGUAAGAUUAAUUAAACAGUAAUUAAUUGAUUAAUUAUGUAAUUAGGUGUUCUUGUUGAUUAGGCUAGUGAUCCCACGGGUUAAUCAUGUUUAAGAUUGACCUAACAACAUGUUUCAAGCAUAUCCACUGUCUCAAUGCUUCUCUUAUGGUAUGAUGUCAUCUUCAUGAGGCCCUUUUGCCUCUGUCCACAGAAAGAAAGGAUGUAGGGUACUGGUGCCAAAAGUAAUUCAUCACAUAGGAAAGAACUCAUAGAGCCGGAUCCCUAACUAACAUGAACGCAUAGAAAUAGAAAUAAAGGAAUAAGUCUACUUGACCCUGACCUAAUGAGGUUGGUCUACUUAAUCCUCUCACCUAUAAAAUUAGGUAUUCUACCACUCAACUAUUCAAAACCGUCUAAAUAACCCCUAGUGUGGUUUUGGAGACGGUUUUGCCUACGUGGCACAACAUAUGGACAAUGAGGUGGCAAGGGCACGUUUAAAAAUCUACUUCACCUAUAUAACUGUUUAUUUAGCCCCUCAAAGUAUUCAAUACCAUUGAAAUCAUCCCUUACACAUGGAAGAUGGCUUGGCACUGACUCUCUCCUUCCCUCCCUCCCUCCCCCCAUCCCUCUCGCUCUCUCCAUCUCUCUCUCUCACACACCACACACGCCCCCCAUCCCUCUCGCUCUCUCCAUCUCUCUCUCUCACACACCACACACGCACGCACACACAAAAGCAUGUCCCACUAGUCAUCUUUUCACUGUUUAGCUCAUGGCCAAAGUAAAAUAAGAACCCAAAAUGGAGGCGAAGUUGAUGUCAAGUUGUCACAAAGUUAGAAUAAUGCAGAGACAAGGACAUGCUUGUGUGCGAGUCGAGAGAGACGGUGUUAGUGCCCAUCUUCGAUAUAAUGCUCCACGUCAAUGGAAAAACAUAAAAAUUCUUAUAGGUGAUAAUUUAGAUGGCAUUGAAAUACAUUAGGGAGUUAAAUAUCUUGCUAUAUAGUUGAGGGAGUUACGUAGAUGAACCUCAAUAGUUUAGGGGUUAAAGUACAUUUCCAAACAUAUUCUUUCCAUAUCAUUGUCCAUGCGUAAUGCCACAUAUACUACCGGACACAGGGACUUCGCCGAGUGCCGCUGGCACUCGGCGAAGCCCAAAAACACUCGGCAAAGCGUUUGCCGAGUGUAACACUUGGCAAAUGACACACGGCAAAAAAUCUGUUGGCAAACGCUGAUUCGCCGAGUGUUUUGUGUCGGGUAGUCGGCAAAGACUUCGCCGAGUGGCAAAAAACACUCGGCAACCAAUUUUUCAAGAAAAUUAAAAAAAAAUAUCCGGCUGCAGCCACCACCACCGGUUGCCGGCACCACCACUACCACCACACACUGCACCACCGGCCGCCGCCACCACCACCGCCACCACACACUGCACACACUGCCGCCGCCACGCCCCACUGUCGCACGACCCGCCCGCGUCGGCCGCCUCGACCCGCCGCCGCCGCCGCCACGCCCCACCCCCCUCCCCAUCGGAUCCGGGGAAGAAGGACGCCAGAUUCGGGGAAUAAGAAGGGCGCCAGAUCCGGCCGGGGAAGAAGGGGAGGGUGGGGCACUAGAUCCGGCCGCCAUACGCCGCCCCCACUGGCCGCCAUGACCCGCUGCCGCCUCGACCUGCCCCCGUCACCGCCCCGCGCCAGAUCCGGCUGGGGGAGGGAGAGGGGAGGGAAGGAGGUGCGCCGGGGAGGAAGGGAGAGUGGAGGGGAGGGGAGGAGGGCCGGCCGCCGGCGGGGGGGGCACACAAUGUCCGAUAUGCCGUUCGUUAAGACGAUCNNNNNNNNNNNNNNNNNNNNNNNNNNNNNNNNNNNNNNNNNNNNNNNNNNNNNNNNNNNNNNNNNNNNNNNNNNNNNNNNNNNNNNNNNNNNNNNNNNNNUCUGAACAUCCGAUGUAUCCCUACUAAAGUGCAGCCCUCGUAUCCAAGCAGCCCCUAAAUAUCCUCGUAGCGCCCGCCAUAGAGGCCGCUAUAGUGGUAGUGGUACUCCCCCGCCACCAGAUGCCCAAGAUAGCAUGUCGGACUUAGCGGCCGCUAUUGUCCACUAUUGCCCCGUACAUGUUAGGCCGCUAUACGCUAUAUUUACCGUCGAAGUGACAUAUGAAUAUGAAUAUGAAUAUGAAUCAAAUGGUAAUAAUAAUAUUCAUAAUGGUUAUCUAGGUAAUAAGAGUUAUUGGAUGAAACAUGAAUUUUCGUAUUAAUUGAUACUCGGGUGGUGGUGGCCUCGUGGGGUGCGGGGGUGCGGAGGAAAGGGGCACGGUGGGGUUAUGUAGGAUUUUUUCACGUUUGCCGAGUGUCCCCGAUUGGCGCACUCGGCAAAGUUUUUUUUAUUUUUCUGCGAGAAAAAACUUGUUGCCGAGUGUAAAAAAUAAAACACUCGGUGAACCUUUUGUUUGCCGAGUGCUAAAAAUAAAACACUCGGCAAAGCCUUGAUUAACGGAGUGUCAUUACUUUGCCGAGUGGUUUUCGCGAAACACUCGGCAAAGAGCUCUUGCCGAGUGCCCGACGGAAUACACUCGGCAAAUAAAAGUACACUCGGCAAAUUAGAGAUUUCCCGUAGUGAUAGGCAAAACCACCUCCAAAACCAGCCUAGAGGGUUAUUUAGACGGUUUUGGAUAGUUCAUGGGUAGAAUACCUGGUUUUAUAGUUGAGGGAGUUAAGUAAACGAACCUUAGGUCAGGGGGUGGAGUAGACUUAUUCCUAGAAAUAAAUUAGUACAUAGAUAAAUGAAAUUGAAAAGAACUCUACUUUUUGAUAACUUCCUCAUUUUGUUGCUACUGCAGAUCUUAUGAAACUGAUAAUAUCAUAUAGAUAUACCUCCAACAAACAUUAAAAGGAUCUCAGAUGACUCUCAUCGAAGCAUGACGUCAGUUAGAAAAUUAAUUCCUAUUGGAAGUGCCUAACUGCAUGAAUAAGGUACUCCAUCCGUCCCAAAUUACUAUUCGUUUUGGCUUUUCUAGAUAUAGCAAAAUCUAUGUAUCUAGAAAAGUCAAAACGAAUAGUAAUUUGGGAUAGAGGGAGUAUUUGGUAAUUGGUAGGAGCAUCCGGUUGACUACAUCAAUCUCAUCUAGUAUAAAGCCAUGUAGGGCCCCACUCUCUGUGGCAUUGACAGUAAUAGAAACAGUAGCUUUCCCGCUCCAAGCUUACGUACUUGAUCCUUUUCUUCAUCAGAUAUGAUGGUGAUUGUUCGUAUAACACCUUUCAGGUUGCCAAGCAACACAGCUCCCCGCUGGUGUACAUGGUGUCAAACAAACACCAACAGCAGGAACCUAUUCACCGUUGGUUUCAAGUAAGACCCUCUUGGAUGAUGGCUGGUGGGAGAUGGGCGGAGCUAGACAAAAAUAUAGGGGUGCACCACUUCAUAGCAUAUGUAGAAUAUUCAUGCUAACAUGGUGAAAAUUGAAAGGUGAUAAGUGAUUGUGGAUUUUUUUUAGGGUGCGGUCGCACCUGGUGCCAACAACGUAGCUCCGUCCCUACACCAGGUGGAUGGAUCUUGAGAACAAGAUGACGUUAAUCACUACGGGAAACAAGAAAAUUGCUGGGCACUCGGCGAAGGGCGAAAUACACUCGGCGAGCCGUUUGCCGAGUGUAACACUCGGCAAACGGCACACGGCAAACUUUGUGAUGGCAAACAAGGACUUGCCGAGUGUUUUCUGUCGCGCACUCGACAAAGACUUUGUCGAGUGGCCAGAAAACACUCGGCAUACAAUUGUUGAAAAAAAUAAAAAAAAUCUUGUUCCGCCACCGACGCCAGCACCACCAGCCACCACCGGCCACCACCGCCAGCACCACCGGCCACCACCACCAGCACCUCCAUCGGCCACCACCGCCAGCACCACCGGCCACCACCGGCCACCACCGCCAGCACCUCCACCGGCCGCCGCCGCCAGCCACCACCACCAGCCACCAGCCGCAAGUAGCACCACCACCACCAGCCGGGAGGGGAAGGGCCGGAGGAGAGGGAGGGGAGGGGCGCCGCCCGCGCUGGCGGAUCUGGAGGAGGGAGGCGGCUGUGCCGGAACCGGGGGAGGCGGCGGCUGCACCACCAGCACGUCACCACUAUCCACACCGCCGCCGCCGCCACCAUCCACGCCCGCCGGAUCCGGGGCCCCCGACGCGAGUCCCCGCCGGAUCCGGGGCUCCCGACGUGAGUCCCCGCCAGAUCCGGGGAGGAUGGGCGGAUUCCCCGCCGGAUCCAGCCGGAUCUGGUGAGAGGGGCUGGGCGGCCACGCGAGGGAGGGAGGAGGGGAAAGGAGGGGGAGGUGCGCCAGUAUGAGANNNNNNNNNNNNNNNNNNNNNNNNNNNNNNNNNNNNNNNNNNNNNNNNNNNNNNNNNNNNNNNNNNNNNNNNNNNNNNNNNNNNNNNNNNNNNNNNNNNNNNNNNNNNNNNNNNNNNNNNNNNNNNNNNNNNNNNNNNNNNNNNNNNNNNNNNNNNNNNNNNNNNNNNNNNNNNNNNNNNNNNNNNNNNNNNNNNNNNNNNNNNNNNNNNNNNNNNNNNNNNNNNNNNNNNNNNNNNNNNNNNNNNNNNNNNNNNNNNNNNNNNNNNNNNNNNNNNNNNNNNNNNNNNNNNNNNNNNNNNNNNNNNNNNNNNNNNNNNNNNNNNNNNNNNNNNNNNNNNNNNNNNNNNNNNNNNNNNNNNNNNNNNNNNNNNNNNNNNNNNNNNNNNNNNNNNNNNNNNNNNNNNNNNNNNNNNNNNAAACUUGACCGUCACUUCAACUCUAAAUUUUAUGGAAUCCUCUCAAAGUUAGUAUUCUUCUUCCGAGAUGCUUCGGUUUGUAAUCAUUGUACAUGAUGAAAUGUGCAAAACCUUCUCAUUUUUUUUCCACAGCCUCCACGUACUAUAUCAUCACAUCAUGACAAAUCUCAUGAUUUUCAGACUUUGCUUGUUUUUUUUACAAUUUAAAAAUACUACUGCCACACGUUCAUGGUCGUGUUUCCUGAACAAGAUGUUCGAAAUUUCUUUUCAUUUCAUGGGUCAGGUCUCAAAAUGGGCCAAAUAACAUGAAUAUCAUUUUUUUACUCAUUUUGUUCCAUAAUUUGAAUCACUUGCAGUCAAAUUUGACUUAUACCAAAAAUUUCCUUGAAAUGCAAUUAAUUAAAUAAAUAUAGCAAAUAAAUCCAAAAAUAUACCAAAUUUUAACAUGGAGUACCACAUGUUAUAUGUGGGGAGUAGAAAAAAUUUCAUGGUGAAAAGAGAAAAAAAAUAUUUUUUUGCCGAGUGUAAAAAAAAACACUCGGCAAACACUCAACAAACUACCCUCUUUGCCGAGUGUUUUUUUUGACACUCGACAAAGAAGGGGGUUUGCCGAGUGUUUUUUUAUUUGACACUUGGCAAAGUCCCGAUUUGCCGAGUGUAUUUUUUUUGUCGAGUGUUUUUGGCUUGGCACUCGGCGAAGAGCUUGUUUGCCGAGUGCUCGAAAAAAACACUCGGCAAAAUAAAUACACUCAGCAAUUUUCUUGUUUCCCGUAGUGGUUCCUCGGCCAGUUGAAGGCUGAAGUUCCUUCUUCCAAAUGAUACGAUGGGGUAGUCACUAGUCAAGUACAAAGGUACAUCAUGAAAUAAACUUUUCCCUAUUCAGAAAUUGUACCUCUGAAUCAACACUGAACUAAUUGACCAUGCUGUGAGAAAUGUAGAUGCAACACAUGCUUUGGAACAAAUAUUAUAAUCAAAUAG